rnacentral:lncRNA from 1 species
AUUUCAACAGCAUGCGGACAAGUUCUUACACAGUCCACAGGAAUCAUUAAAAGUCCUGGCCAUCCUAAUAUCUACCCCAGUGGUAUCAAUUGUACCUGGCAUGUACGGGUUCAAUCUGGAAAACGGAUUCGUUUGGUGUUUGACAAGUUUUAUCUGGAGUUUCAUUACAAUUGCUCAAAAGAUUACCUGGAAGUUUACGACACUGGUUCUGAGACAUUUCUUGGGAAGUAAGGUGUUUUUAAUACUUUUUUUAAUUGUAGACAGACACAAUACUUUAUUUUAUUUACUUUUGUGUGGUGCUGAUGAUCAAACACAGUGCAUCACACAUGGUAGGCAAAUAACUCUACUAACUGAGCUGCAACCCCAGCCCAAGGUGGUUUUUUUUUCAUGCUAAACUUGGCAGCUUGCUUGUUUAUUUUUAAUUUUUGUUUGUUUGUUUGUUUGACUAAGGUACUUAUUGUAUUUAUUUAUUUUUUAUGGAUUUAAAAAAAUAAAUGAUAGUGGAAUGCAUUACAAUUCUUAUUACACAUAUACAGCACAAUUUUUCAUAUCUCUGGUUGUAUAUAAAGUAUGUUGACACCAAUUUGUGUCUUCAUACAUGUACUUUGAAUAAUGAUGUCUAUCACAUUUCACCAUUCUUAUUUUUUUUUAUAGAUUUUUGUUCAGAAAGGCACAAAAUCAGUAAUGCACAUACCACCAUUUCCCAUCUAUUUUCUCUUAUUUCUUUUUUAAAGUGUGCUGGGAGCCAUUAGCCAAGUAGGUAUGACAAUUUCCUUGCCAGCGUACCCCAUGUUGCAGUGACAUUGAAUGUACGUGACCUUGCUCAAGGACCAAGGCAGAUUANAAUCUACAAGCUGUGUGGUGGCUCGUGAUUGUGUGCCCAGCCAGACUGCGGCAUUUGUGCCCAGCCAGACUGCGGCAAAAGUGACAACAUGUUUUUUUUUAAUUUUGUAUACCAUGAUAUUUUGAAGUAUAUACAGAUUACAGAAUAGUUAAUUCUAGCUGAUUAACUAACAUACUACCUCACAUAUUUAUCAUUUUAACGGUGAUAGCACAAAACAUCCACUCUUUUUACAUUUGCAAAAGAUACCAAGUAUGAUUGACUGCAGUCACCUGGCUGUACAACAGAUCCUUUGAAAUUUAGUUCUCCUAUCCAACUGUAAUUGUGGAUCUUUUCAACCUCAUCUCCCAACCCUUCCCCGCAAUCACCUGAGCCUCCAAUAAGCACCAUUAUUAUACUGUCUGUGUCUAUAAGAUCAACUUUUUAUAGAUUUCACAUAUGAGUGAUCUCAUGUGGUAUUUUUCUUUCUGUACCUAGUUUCUUCCAUUUCAUACAAUGUUCUCUGCAAGAUCAUCCCUGUUGUUCCAAGUAACUGAAUUCCAUUAUUUUUUAUGACUGAAUGGUCUCCCAUGGUGUGUGUGUGUGUGUGUGUGUGUGUGUGUGUGGCGGGGGAGGGGGGGCGGUAUCUAUAUUUACAUUUCCAUAUCUAUAUAUCUAUAUCACAUUUUCUAAUCAUCUAUUGAUGGACCCUUGGAUUGAUCCCAUAUCUUGGACCUUGUAUAAUGCCGCAAUGAACAUGAGAGGGUGGAUAUUUCUUCAAUAUACUGAUUUUGCUUCCUUGAGCUAUAUACUUAGUAGGAGGAUUGCUGGGUCAUAUGAUAGUUCUAAUUUUAAUUUUUGAGGAACCUCUAUAUAUUGUUUUCCAUAAUGGCUGUACUGAUUAUUUUUUUUAAUUUUUAUUUAUUUAUUUAUUUUUAGUCAUACAUGACAGUAGAAUGUAUUUUGAUAUAUAAUACAUACAUGGAAUAUACAUACAUAAAUCAUAUUGUCUAUUCUAUUCUGCUGCCCUUCCUAUCCUCCCUACUCCUCCCCUCCUCUCCCAUCCUUUCUCUCUAUCCAAUCUAAUGUGACACACUUUUUUUUUCUUUUUCUCAUUACAACAUCAUAUAUGUAUUCUGUAUAACAAUGAGGUUCUCCUCUCAUCUUCUGUGCAACUGCCUUUAAAAUAUAUAUUUUUAGUUGUAGAUGGACACAAUAUCUUUAUUUAUUCAAGAGUAAAUGAGGAUUCUCUUUUCUCUGCAUUUUCACCAACCCUUGUUAUCUUUUUUUAAAUAAUAAUCAUUUAACAGAUGUGGUAUGAUAUCUUAUUGUGGUUUUUAUUUGCAUUUCUUUAAUGAAGAGUGACAGUGAGCAUUUUUUAAAUACAUGUGUUGGAUAUUUCUGUGUCUUUCUUUUUUCUUUUUUUAGUAAUGUCUAUUCAUGGGUUUUUUUGCCCCUUUUUGAUCAAGUCACUUGUGGUUUUGCUAUUGAGUUGUUCACAUUCUUUAUGUGUUUUGGAGAUAAGCUGCUUGUGAGAUGUAUAAUUUGCAGAUAUUAUUUCACAUUCCACAGGUUUUCUCUUCACCCUGUUGUUUAUUUUUGCCAUAUGGAAGAUUUAUAGUUGAUAGAACCCCAAUGGUUUAUUUAUUUUUUGUUGCCUGUUCUUUUGAGAUCUCUUCCAUAAAAAUCCUGCCAAGACCAGUGUUAUAGAGAACUCCUCCAUGUGUUCUUCUAGUAGUUCAUACCUACAAUUAAGCUUUUAGCCCUUUUUCAGUUUAAUUUUCCUCUCAUUAUGAUUCAUACUUUGCUGCUUCUUUCUAUCCCUGGAAAUAUCUGACAUAAUGUUAAGCAUUUUCAAUUUUUAUGUUUUUGGCUCUAGAUAUUAUUAUAUUCCUAUAAAUGUCCAGGAAUGCAGUUAAAUUACUUGAAAUCAGUUCAAUCCUUUUCAGUUUUGCUUUGGAACUCAUUUGUUUCCUGUACUUCAUCACUUGAUAUCCAGUGUCUUUUUUAAAAUUUUUCUUAUUUGUUUUAAUUACAUGACAGUAGAAUGCACUUAAAUACUUUGAUAUAUCAUACAUAGAUGGGAUAUAAUUUCUCAUUUUUCUGAGUAUACAUAUUGUAGAAUCACAUUGGUCAUACAGUCACAUACAUACAUACAGUAAUAAUGUCUGUUUCAUUCUACUAUCUCUCUUAUCCCCACAUCCCCUGCCUUCCCCUCCUUUCCCUUCCCUCUACCUAAUCUAAGGUAAUGCUAUUCUUUUUUUUUUUUUGCAUUACAAUUCUUAAUACACAUAUGUACCACAAUUUUUAUAUCUCUGUUUGUAUAUAAAGUAUGUAUCCAGUGUCUUGAGAGCCAACAUUUUAAAUAUUUUGUUCAGGUUUCAGUUGUUUUAGGUGUAAAAUUAAAUCUAGCUGUUAUUAUUAUAUCUUCAUUAGAAAUGGAAUUCUCCUGAUUGCUUUGUUUCUUCAUUUUUCAUUUUCUUUUAUUUUUUAUUGUAAAACAUUUGUUUCUCUGUCCAUUAUUAAGUUAAAUUUUCUUCUGGUUUUAUACUCUCUCAUCAUCUUUUGUUUCUUAACUUUUUAAACUUUUCUAUUUUUAUUUAUUUAUUUUUUUGGUGGGGGGAUGAAUGGGUAUUUAUAACCACUGAAAAAUAUAUAAUUUUUGCUGAAUGGCAUAAACUAGAAUGAUCUUGCCCAAAUUUAGUAGAUAUGGACAUAUAAAUUAAGGAUUUAAUUAAUUUACCUACCUUUGUUUUGAUCAAGAUGUUAAAUCCUUUUAAACACUGAAAAGGCCUUAUAUACUACAUUCUGUCUUAAUUUCACUCAGCAAUUAAUCCAUCCCUUUCUCAUAUUCAACAGUUCCCUUUACAUUCAUUUUCAUAGUAUUUUUUUUUUCUCUGUCAUUCUAUUUGACUAAUUUUGCCAACUCUGUUUAGACUUGAGAUUUCUAUUUUACUUGUCUUUCCUUCUUACAGGUAUUGCUAAAAUCUCAUGGCUUAAUGUCUUUUAUUAUUUUGUCAUUACUAGAAAAUUUUGUUCUGAGUAAAACUGCUUUUGUUCAGCAAAAAAGACAAUAUGGCUUUAUAAUCAAACCUUUUCCUCUCCACAGGCCCGCUGUUAAAGACAACAGAUUCCACCUCUCUAGGAUUUCUAUUCCAGGCACUGAUCUAAGUGCUUUAUGUACAGUAUCUUAACCCAUCAUUUCCCAAGAAUAACUCUAUGAAGUAGGCACUAUCACCAUCUCCAUUUUCAAGAUGGAGAAACUGAGGCAUAGAGAUUGAGUGAUUUGCCCAAAGUCAUAUUGCCUCUAAGUGACAGAGUUGACACUUCAGUCUGUACUUUAAGAAUUGAUGAUGUAUGAAUUCCCUUCACUGUUUAUAUUUGUUACAUUUCUAUGAACAAGUUCAUUAAUUUGCUAAAUGGCAAUCUAAUGGAACCUGUGCUUUCUAAUUUCAUCAAAAUUCUAACAUGUUAAGUUACAUAGCCAGACACACACCAAACCGUUUCAGAGAAGUAAUCAUGAAUAGAAUGAUCUUCUAAGUUUGCAAAUAAUUUUUUUUUGCCUGAAAUAUAUUUGCUUUUUGAGGUUGGUUGGAGUUAUAUAAGAAAACUGAUUAUCAUAUUUACAUGUUCCAAUUUUUGGUCCAUCAUUUCAAAUAUACUAAAGGUUUUUAAACCAAUGUAUCUGUUCUUUCUCUGUUUGGAAUAGAUUUUGUGGAAAAUCCAUCCCGCCUUCUCUCACCAGCAGUGACAACUCAAUAAUGUUGAUAUUUGUGGCUGACUCUGACCUCGCUUAUGAAGGCUUUACAAUAAAGUAUGAAGCAAUUGAUGCAGGUAACAAGACACAUUGUCUGCUUGGUCUCAUUUACUGUGUUACAAAAUAGUACUAAUAUCUAACACAAAGAAUGCUUAGUCCCUAAAUCUGGGACACACCAUGAAAGUCGUAGUUAGAAUAAAGUAGGUGACUUUAAACACCUUCCUUAAAAAUAGAAUCAUGAUCAGAUAGGAGUAUUAUAUCAAUUAAUACUAAUGUUGUAUUGUAUCAAUAUUGAUUUUCCUCAAUAUGAAAUUUUCAAAAUUUGAUAAUGGUACAGUGAUUUUGUAAGGGAAAUAUUUUGUUCUUAGAAGAUUUUUGAAGUAAAGACACAGUGUGUACAGAUGACUCUGAAGUGGAUCAAAUGAUGAGUGAGUGACAGAAUCAAAGAGAGAAAGGGGAAGAGAAAGCAAUAAGACAGAGAAAGAGAGACACACAGAGAGAGGGAAGGAGGUAAUAUAGUGGGGGCAAAAUACAAAUAUAUGGUAAUUUUGGAUAGAACGAAUUUGGGAGCUUGUGCAAUCUUUCUGCACGUUUAAAAUUCCACCAAAAUAAAAAGUUACCAAUCAGACUGAAAACUUAUUUUAAGAAAUUAUAAAAAAAAAAACAACAGUUACACAGUAAAAAUAAGAGACUUCUGCAUAGAAUUUUGUAUCAGGAAAGGGAAGUUUUCUUGGCAAAAUAUACAUUUCUAAAUAUGACCUAAUGAAAUUGAUCUUUUUAAUUUUUCCUUUUAUCAUAUUGUAUUUUUCCUAUUACUUAGUUCUCCUCAUUACUUUGCUCCUUGCCAAUGUAUCCUAGGAAACCAAUACCUGCAGGCAGAGUCUUUGAGAUGACAUGUACUAGGGAUGCUGCCAGCCCCAAGAGUCUGUGAGGUUUAUGAGGAUGUCAUGUUCCACAGGCUCGUUUCCCCCGCUGAGAUUGUAUGUUUUCAGCAAGUCUGGGCUUUCUUAUGCAUUAGGUGCAUAUGGUGACUGUGCUCACUAAGCAUUUCACGACCUCUGAAUUGCCCCAGAAGCAUAGUACUAUUCACUGAGAGAGAACUGGAGCACUGCCAGUGCCUGCAUAUGUUCCUCCAGGGACCCCAGGUGUUCCUUUUUUAAAGCUCCUACUCCCCACAGGAAAUAAAUAAAAAGGAAAAAAAAAUCUCCUGCUCAGAAACCCUACUCAAUUUCUCAUUUAUUUCUCCGGCAGAGGGUCUGGUUACUAUUCUUCAUUCAUUCCAGGCAAAUUGUUAUUCUCUGCAGAGCUUCACAUUCUGUGUUUUGGAAUCGUGACUUUAGGUUUCUCCAGAAUCCUGAGAGCAAGAGAAUCAUAUAGUUUUAUCUUGAGUGGAACCUUCUGUGGGAUACACUUCAUUUUUCAGCCCAAGCACAUGGGGAAUGAGGUCCCUGGAUUCAUAUUAGGUUUUGUUGUGCAGUUGACAUAUGCACUGGACUUUGUUCAGGUGGUUAACAUCCAAAGACCAAAAUCAGUUUCUCAGGAAAUUAUAGUGUGCACACAAUUUUCCAUACUUCAUAGUUUUAUCUGUCUCAUAUGUUUGGCUCCAAACCACACUGAAUAUUAGAUUUGGAGUAAGUCACUUGAACUCUCUGGGCUACAGUUUUCUCAUCUGUGUAAUUAAAGGAGUGGAUUUGAUGAUCUUUGAAAUGUCUUCUGGUUCUAAUCAUCUAUGAGCAUAAUUUCAAUUUGCUGCAUGAAUAAACUGGCAGUGUAUUAGAUAACAUGUAAUUCAGGCUGGGCCUCCUGAAAAUAUCAUAGAAAUCUUUGUGAUAAUAUACAAAGUAAGACAUAGCUCUAUAAUGACUCCAACAACUCUUUGUUAACUCUACAUUAGCUUGUAAGGCUGUGUUUACUGCAGAAACAAUCAAGAACAAUUGAAAUAAUAUGAUGAGGAAGAUAUUAAAGUUAAAUAUUAAUAAGUACAAGUAACUAAAAUUAAAUCAAGGGUUGGGUGUAUAAUGCUGAGUGGUAGAGCACUUGCCUAGCAUGCAUAAGGUCCCGGGUUCAAUCCCCAGCACUGCCAAAGUUUAAAAUAAAUAAAUAAAUAAAUUGAAAAAAGGAAAGAAGUAAGCUGGACAGGAAAGGAAACUUAGCUGUCUAGUGUGUGUUUGGCAUGCAGGAAGCCCUGGGUUCAAUCCCCAGCACCCACUCAAAACUUAAAGUGAGAGAGCAGAAGAAAAAGCCAAGGAAAAAAAGAAGAGACUGUCCUAACAACUGCAGAGACGCUCCACCCUGCUUCCCUGUGUGCUGGCCACUACUUUAGCCUCUGUGUGGUCCAGACAGGGCUGAAAUCACAUAGUGACCAAUCAGGCUAAGCCAAGGGACAGAAAGUAUGUAUUCCCAAUGUGCCUUGCCUUUUGCUGAAUGAACUGAUAGGUCUGACUAACACCGUCAAAUCAUUCUAAAUAGCAAUCUGAUCUAUGAUUGGAUCCAGGAAGCCUUAUGGCAUCUUCACCUUAUAACUCUGGAGACUUUUACAGUUUUCCAUAGGUCAGGAGGUGAGCUCACAUGAAUUACUGAGGGAAGGGUUGGCUCAGGGAUUAAAGGAGGAGUUAAGCUGGUUGUAGCCAGGCAGAGGGCUAUCGUCCUCCCAGUCAGGCAGAGUCAGGGUGCGGUGCGUGAGGUGCUAACUUGAAAACACAGAGGUGUUAAGGCUCUUUCUUUUCAGUUAUCUUUUGGGGGGACUAUUUUCUACAGAAUAAAAUAGUGAAAGAGAAGAAGAGCGUCAGUGAAAGCUAAAUUGUGGGACCUUACCCUUUUUUAUUGCUCUAGCAGAAGUUAUUUCCAGAGCCAUAAUAAUGACUUUGGUUGCUGAUUUCUAGUUCUUCAGCACAACCUCUGUGCAUUUCCCUGCUGACACUAUUACUGUCUUCAUCUGAUAAAGGUGAAUUUUCCUGAUUUAAAUACAGUUCUUUUCUCAUCUGUAGUUCAUGCCAUGUGGCUAUGAUGUCAACCCUCAAGUAUGUGUUUGGGAGGAAAGACAUGGCUUCUUGUCAUUACUUUGACUCCCUCCCUCUGCACUCUGUUACUGCCUUCCUCCAGAUGUUCCUGGGGAAACAGAAAUGAAAGAAGUAACAAGUAAAAUAUUAUUGGAUAGCAACUCUUAAGAAGUUCUUAGUAAGUGAUUAGGAGAUGAGGUUUUCAGUGCUUGAUGACUGAAAGCACAAAACACUUGAAUCCCAAGAGAAUAUAAUUAGUUAAAUUUGCCAAUUUAAUUUGAAAUUUUAUAUUCUUUUAAAAUCUAUUGCAUAUACAUAAAUAGAUAAUCCUACUAAUAGGGUACAUUAAAAGUAUAAACAAGAGCAGAGACAUCUAAUUAAUUCAUUUUCAACUUUAAUAUUAGAUAAAAACUUAUAUAGCGUUGAAUCCAUUGUUUUUCACACUGUAAAUUCAUGACUCAUUCAUGACUGCAUUUGUUCAAAGUAUGGAGUAGAAUUGAAAAUAGCAUGAAGGUAUCAGAGUUAUCACACAAAGUUAGUUAUCACUCCAUGAAGUUUGUAGUAUGUCUGUGUGAGCAUUAUUGAUGUAAAUAUCAUUUUUUAUGGUGUCAAAGAAGCUCAUAACACAGAUCUCAGCCAAGUAAUUUUUUCCCUUCUCUCUCUCACUCUCUCUCUUUCCCCCUUCUCCACACCUUUCGUGCACGUGUGUGGUACUGAGGAUCAAACCCAAGGUCUUUCACAUGCCAGGCAAGCACUCUACCACUAAGCUACAUCUUUAGACCUAGUCCAAAUAAUUUUAAAUGAGGAAGAAAGAAGUUAGAAUGUUGAAUUUUUGUCCCAAGAAUACAUGGCUAGUUGAUUUAGGAGGCAAACUAAACAAUCAAGUCUCAACAUGUAAUCCAUGUCUUCUGCCAUGUGUCUCGACUUGCUCUUGGAAAUUCCCUAGAUGAACUUCACCUGGUGCAAUUGGUAACAUUCAUUUCAGGGCUACAGUAUAACUGUGGUGAACUUCUCAUAUUUUCUGCAAAGAGAAAUGACCAGGAAAUAAUAAAAAAAGGGAAAUGACCAGGAAUAAUAAAAAACACCUCAAUAUAGGGUAAAAGUGAGCCGGCCCAACCUCCUCAUCCCCAUCACAAAGACAACCCCCCUGCCAAUAUACACACACACACUGGUGUUUAGUGCUAUUUUUCACAGGUCAUCCUGGAAUAAGCCCCCAGAAGACAUCUAGGAGUAGGAAGUUAAGAAAUGAUAAACCAGAGAGCUAGAAAGAGUUUAUUUAGAAGAAAUGGGUAGAGAGAAUCAUUCUACUUUAAACUACAAUCUUGUCAGGGCAGCAUUCUCAGACUCCAAUGUUCAUAAGAAGCUUGGGGAGGAGGGAAGUGUGUUGUUACAAAUUCAGGUAUCAGGGUUUCAUCCAGAAAUUCUGAUUAAAUAGAGAUGUCUAGGGUAGAUUUUUCUUUACUCAGAAAUUCAAGUGGAGCUCAUGAAGUUUUGUCUUUAUACUUCAUCAAAGACCCUGAAAGUCAAGUCUUAGAGUAUAAAUUGCUGUAAAAUCCCAAGAGAAAAUGGCGAAUGGCACUACUAGAAAGUGCUGUUCUUGAUACUGUGAAAGGAAGCCUUGAGGAGAAGUCAGGUCUCCAUAUCCAGAUUGAUAUUAAUGUGGACUACUCUGGGCAAAUCAUAAUCCUCUCCUAUUCUUUCUACCUUGAAUUCUGAAUUUUCUGCUUAGAUACUUGGAUAUCUUUCUUCUGGAAAGGAAUUUUAGUAAGUCUAUUCAUCUCCAAAAGAUUCACUUUCUAAUUGGUUAGUGUUUUCUUGUAUUAUGGCACAUACAGCUAUCCUAGCUCUUCCCAGAUUGGUUCAUUUAUCUUACCUAAUUUGUUAAAUUUCUUGGCCCUUUGAAUAAAAAUGGUGAACAGAAUGUUGAUUUGUGACAUUCCUAGUCCCCCUACUUGUCUUCAUUCCCAAGUUGACAUUUCCUCUAUAAAGUAACCUGGAUUCAUUAAAGAGCACAGGAUUUGAAACUCGAGGACUUUAAUUCAAAUUUUAUCUUGGCCAUGUCUGAACUAAGUGAUUUUCAGAGCAUAAUCUCUAGGGGUCUCAGAUCCUUCACCCACAGCUCUUUAAAAAUGGAGAUGAUAGAGCCUGGCUGUUUUGCAAAAUCAGUGAAAAUAAAAAGAAGAAAAAAUGUGAUGUAAUUCAAUGUUAAAAUGAUAUUAUAGCUAUAAAGGACUACCCUGACUUUGGCAGAUUUAAAAUAUAAUUACUCAUGUCCAAGCACAAUUUUGAAGCAGCUACUUUGCUGUGAAGGAAAAGAAAAAGCAACAACUGUGACCAUCUAGCAGCAAACUGUAGAAAAUGUUAGAUUUAAGUUAGGAAGGCCUCAUCUUUCUAAGGAAGAAAUUGAACCUGUAAUUAUGUCUUCCCUGGAGUCUUUGCUUUAAGGAAUGUUAAACAAAACAUGCCAAUAAAAACCCAUGACGGUUCCUUGGGUUGGCUGUUUAUUUCCCACAUAUCUGGAAAAUCUGAGCCAUAUGGAUUCAUUCAGAAACAAAAAGUCUCAUAAGUGAUUUUAGAAAUCAUGUUUAUAGAUGGUUUCUUUCUUUCUUUUUCUUUUUUUUUUUUUUUUUUUUUAGUGUGGGGGACGGGUACUGGGAAUUGAACUCAGGGGCACUCAGGCAUUGAGCUACAUCCCUAUUUGUGUGUGUGUGUGUGUGUGUGUGUGUACGUGCGUGUGUUUUAUUUAGAGACAGAGUCUCACUGAGGUGCUUAGCACCUCACUUUUGCUGAGGCUGGCUUUGAACUUGGGAUCCUCCUGCCUCAGCCUCCUGAGCUGCUGGGAUUACAGGCAUGUGCCACUGUGGCUCCAUAAUGUGACUGGACAAUCACAUAAGUUAUCCCAUAAGGCAAGUAGGGGAGGUGUAGACUACUUACCCAAGAUCUACAGUCUCUGUAAGCAAUGCAGUCUCUCCACAGGAUCGGUGCCUCCUAUUCCUGUGGUCUAAUCUUUUGGGACUGACCUGUUUCCAGAACUCCCCUUUGACCAAGUGCUUAAUGCUAUGCAAGAAUUUAUUUGAAAAUGCUUAGUGAAGGCAGAGGAACAUGAUCACUUUUUAGAAAAACCUAGUUUUGUGAUUUUGUAAUGAUACACAAGGGACAUUUACAUAUUUUCACUUCUUAAUUUUUUUUUUAAAGUUGAUCAGAGUGAAAAAUUUGGGAGUUCUGCCAAGAAUUGUCUUUGAUCUUCAGAAACAGGCUUUUCCAUUACUCCCUUUGAUACAGGGGCUGGAAGAAUUGUACUUUACUUCUUCAUCUCUUUAUCAGUUUUCUUAGACCAUAAUAACAGGCCAACUGCUAUUGGAUGUGAAUGUUCCUUUAGCAACAACAUAAUAUAAAACAGUGAGCAUUGAUGUAUUUUUAUGUUUGCAUUUUAGAUUGAUGUAAAAAGCACCAUGACAACAUGAAUAUCCUUUUAUGGGAACACAUUCAAACUUAAUUAUUUGUUACAAAUUAAUUAUCUUGUUGCAAAGCACAAGAAGAAACUAAAGCUUAGCAGUACUAUUUUUCAGUAUUAUUAUUUUACAAGUUUUUUUUUUUUUGGGAGGUGCCAGGGAUCAAACCUUAGGGCCUUACCCAUCCUAGGUAAGCAUAUACUGAGUUAUACCCCCCAGCCCUUUAAGAUUAUUUUAGGAAGAGCCAUUUUACUGUUAAGAGAAGAAAAGUAAGCCACUUUAUAGAUUUCAAUUUCAAGUAAGAGAAGUUUCUUAACUUUUCAAGGAAUAGUACAGACAACUAUUGUUUUUCUCCCUAAAAAUCAUACAUGACUCUCAUAAAAUUUCAGCACAAUUUUAACAUUAAAUAGUCUAUUAUUUAAUAUUGACAGUAGAGGCCUCUUCAAAUGAAUAUUUUCUCUAUUUUAAUUUUAUUUUUUACUCACUGGAUAUCUGAAUUAUGUAUUAGAUUUUCUCUAGAGAACUGAAUCUUUACACAAACCUUUUAAACUUUUAAUAUAACAGAGAUUUUUUAUUCUGUAAUUUCAGAAAACAAAACUUAUCCAUCAUUAUAACAAAUGUGUAGACACAUUUAACCACCUCUCCAUUCAAGAACAUACUAUCACCCAAGAAAAUUUCCUAGUGUCUGUUUGGUCAGUCACCUCCGUCACAUCCUCCAUUCCAGCUGCUGCAGACCUUCUUCCUGUCACUGUAGAUUAGUUUUAACUGUUCAAAAGCAAACAUGCGUGGGCACACUCUGUAUAUACCCUUUUGGGUCUGGCUUCUUUCAUUUAGUGUAAUGCACUCAAAUUUUUUUCAUGUUUGAUUUAUUAGUAGUUCUUUUUAUUGCUUAUAGCCUUCAAUUACAUGGAUGUAUGAUAAUUUGAUUACCCAUUUACCUGUUUGUAGACUAGUUGAGUAGUGUCCACUUUUCCACUAUUUUGAAAAAAGUUGCUAUGAAGAUUGAUGUGCAAGUGUUUUGUGGAUUUUUCAGUUAAGGAGUUGCUUAGGAAUAGAAUUUUUCCCAAAGUUUUUAUAUCAUUUCAUAUAUUCUAAAUGAAUGAGAAUUCCACUUUGCCACAUCUUGGCCACUUCUUGAUAUUGUCAGUCUGUUUAUUAUCAGCCUCUAGUCAUUGUGUGGAAGAAUCUUGUGGUUUUUAUUUGCAUUUCCCAUGUGACUAAUAGUGCUGAGUACCUUUCCAUGGACUUUUUGACAAUUCAUGUACUUCCUUUUGUCAGGGGUCCAUUAAUAGGAACCAUUUUGCUCAUUUUUGUUUGUGUUGUUUUCUUAUUAUUGAGUCAUAUGUUAUAUAUUCUGGAUGGAAGUCGGUCCUUCAUCAGAUAAAUGUAUGGCGGCUAUUUGCUCACAGUGGCUAACCUUUUCUUUCUCUGAAUGUUAUCAUUUGAAGAGCAGAAGUCCAAUAGAUCCUUUUUCUUUUCCCUGUUAUGUUUACUGGGUUUUGUAUCGUGUGAAAGAAAUGUUGCCUGCCAAAGUUAGGAAGACUUUCUCCAUGCAUUCCUCUACAAAGUUUAUGUUUGAGGUUUUAUGUCUAAUGACUCAUUUUUAUUUGAUUUUCCAAUUUUAUGUAAGUUAUAUAUCCAAGCCUGUUUCAUUAGAAAAUGGUAUUUAACUGAUGAGGUACCAUUGGUGAAAAGAUUCUUCUCUUUCUCCCCCACUGAAUUGCCUUUGCAUUAUUGUUGAAAAUCACUUACCCACAUACAUGUAUGUGCUUCUAAAAUCUCUGUUCAAUCCCACUGAUGUAUGUAUUUAUCCUUCUAACAAAAGGAUACUACAUUUCUUAAAAUUAUCUACUUUUAAGGUGUAUCUUAAAAUCUGAGAGUUUAAAACUUCCACAUUAUUGAUCCUUUUAUUUUUUUCCAAAUUAUUUUGGCUAUCCUAGAUCCUCUGCAUUUCCAUACAUAUUUAGAAGCAGCUUUUCAAUUUGCCCCACCUCCCUAAACCUGUUGGGAAUUUCAUUGAAAUUUUACAUCGAUUUAGGAACAAAGAACUUCUCAAAUUGAGUCUUGCCAUCCAUGAUCAUGUUUUACCUCUCCAUUUCUUCAGAUUUUCUCUAAUCUCUUCCUGCAGUGUCUUAAAGCUUUUAGCAUAGAGCGUUUGCAUUCCCACUGAACUUUGUGUUUUAUGCUGUUACAGAUAGCAUAUGAAAUUUUAUAGUCCAGUUUGGCUAACAUAUGCCACUUAAAUUAAUGUUCACAUAUUCGUCUAUUGUAUACUGUAUAUACUGUAUCCUCACUAAGCUUAGUUAUUCUGAUAGAUUUUUUAUUAGAUUCUUUAGUAUAUUUUACAGAUAAGAUCAUAACUGUGAAUAAGGACAGUGUUAUUUUUUCCUUUCUCUGUCUUUCUCUUUGUCUUAUAGUAAUGACUAGGGACUUUCUGUACAGUGUUAAAUAGGAAGAAUGAGACUGAUCACAUUGGCCCAUUUCUUAAUCUUGGAAGAAAACAUUUACUCCUUUGCUGUCUAAGCAUGAUGGUGGUCUUUUCAUAGAUACCUUUUAUCAGGUUGAGAAGUUCCAUUCUAUUUGUACUUGCUGAGAGUUUUUAUCAGGAUGGGUUUUUAAUUUUUCAAUGAUUUUUCUGCAUCUUCUGUUGUUAUCACAAGUCUUUUUUAAAUCUUAUUAAUAUGGCACAUUAUGUUGAUUAAUUUUCAAAUAUCAAAACGAUUAUGCAUGCCAAGGAUAAACUCUACUUGGUUAUGACACAUUGUAAUUUUUAUGUCCCUCUGCAUUUGUUAAGUUAAAUUUUGUUAAGGAUUCUUGCAUCUAUGGUUAUGAGACAUAUUUUUCUGUAGUUUUUUCUUUUGUUAUAUCUUUGGUUUUAUUAUGGAGUAAUAUUUAGUCUUAAAAAUGCAGUAGGUGGUGUCGUCUCACCUUCCCCGCCAUUUUCUAAGUAUGUAUAGUAUAAACGUUUCCUUUGUUUUUUUAUAGGAUUUCAUAAGUGAAGGUAAAUGAGCAUAUGGUUUUCUUUGCAGGAAGGUUUAAAAUUGUAAAUAUAAUUUCUUUGAUUGAUAGAGGCUACAGAGGCUUUCUGUUUUUUCUGGAGUCAACUAUGGCAAUUUGUAACUUCGAAAGAAUUUUUCUAUUUUAUCUAUGUUGUCAAAUUUAUUUGCAGUUUUUAAAAUCAUAGUCUCUUUUCUUUUAAAGUCUUAGAGAUUUUGUAGUGAUACUUCCUCUUUCAUUCUCAAAAAUAAUAGUUUGUAUUCAUUCUGUUUUUUCCUUCAUCAAUGUUGAUACAAUUCUUUUGAUUUUAAUGAUUUUUUUUCAGUUUUUUUAUUUUUAAAAAAAAUUUUUGGCAUGGUUAAUUUUCUCUGUUGAUUUUGUUUUCUAUUUAAUUGACUUUUGUUCUUAUCUAUGUUAUUUUUCUUUUAAUUAUUGGCUAUGUUUGCUUUUCUUCUGGUUUCUCUAGAUGAAAUAAAACUAAUAUGUCGUUAAGCACUGUGUUUUCCUUCAUAUCCCAGAUUUUGAUAAUCUUCAUCAAUUUACAGCUUUUAGCAUUUUCUAAUGCCCUUGUGAUUUCUUCUUUGAUCUAUGAAUUAUUUAUAAUCUGUUUUUUAAAUUCCAAGUAUUUGUAGUUUUUCAAAACAUCUUACUGAUUUAUAAUUCAAUUUUAUCCAUUUAAAGAAAACCGUUUAAGUUUUCAAUUAUUUGAAAUUUACUGAAACCUGUGUUACAGUCUAGCACUUCACCCAUGUUGCUGUACAUUUCAUGUGCACUUGGAAACCUGAGUAGUCUGCUAUUUAUGAGAGUGGUAUUCUUCAAUGGCCAAUUGGGUUAAGUUGGUUGGUACAGUGAUUGUUGAUAUGAUUGGAUUUAGCAUGCCAUCAUGAUUUUUUUCCCAUGCCUCUUCUGUUACUAUUUCCUAUUGUUUUUGUUUGUUUAUCUACAGAGUAUUUUAUUAAUACAUUAUAUUAUACAUAAUAAUACAUAAUACGUAAUAAUACAUAUUAUUUCCUUUAAUGGAUUUUUAAUAAUACCUCUUUGGUUUGGUUUGGUUAGAUUUAAUAAUGCUGUGGAUUUAAACUUUACACCUUGUACUUCAUUUUUCACAUGGAACACUUCAUAUUCCACAAUCUCCCCUUCCCACUUUACAAAUGUAAUAAUCUCGUGAUAGUGUAAUUUAACCUGUCCCUUUCUCUUUGCUAUUUUAGUUAUAUCUUUUCUUUCUCUCUAUAUUAUAAACUCUACCUUACUAUUAUUUUUGCUUUAAAUCUGACCAAUUACCUUGUACUAAUGUAGGCUUUUAUUUUAAAAAUAUUAAAGGUGUAUUUGUGAAACUUUCUAGGUGUUUCCCAUGGCCCUCUGAUUUGGUAGGUCUCAAUCUCCAAGCUAUAUCAUUUCUGCAAGUCUUUUUUUGGUGGGGGGAGGUACCGGGGAUUGAACUCAGGCCACUCAACCACUGAACCACGUCCCCAGCCCUAGUUUGUAUUGUAUUUAGAGACAGGGCCUCACUGAGUAGUUUAGCACCUUGUCAUUGAUGAGGUUGGCUUUGAACUCGAGAUCCUCCUGCUUCAGCUUCUGGAGCCGCUGGCAUUACAGGUGUGUACCACUGCGCCCAGCUAUUCCUGUAAGUCUUUUUAAGAUUCGAACUUACACACUGGUAGGGAACCUGUAAAGAAGGCCUGCUCUUGGCCAAGGUCUUCACUUAUAAAGUGUGACCUUUUAGAUGCCUCAAUUGAAUUUGUGGGGUGUAGAUAAAGUACUUCCUUUCUGGCUCAGAAAGUUGCCCUGACCUCAAACAUGUUGUUUCUGUUUCCAGACUAACGGUAUCAGCUCUCUGGUGUGCUCACUCCUUGUUACUCAGCCCAGGCUCUGCCAAGACUGAUGGGAGCCAUAGCCAGACAUCUGGCUCUCCUCUCUAUCCUUCUUCCACCCGGUAGCUUUCCUUAUGGUUCUAGGCAGUGCUAAACUCAGAUCUCGGCUUCCUCUGCUUCAUAUGACUGUCAUUCACUACUUCGGCUUCAGCUCACUGCUGUGGUCAGAAAAUUCCAAGUUCUAGAACCAAAGAAAUCAAGAGUCUAGCUCAUAAGUUUCCUUUCCAUCUAGAACAGCAAUCUUAUACUGCUUACUGUCCAAAAAUUUGCUUGGUUUUAUAUUUGUUAAGAAAAGGGGCUAAUUCAGUACAAAUUGAUUGUCAUGGCUGGAAGCAGAGAUUCCUAUUUUUAGAUUGAAUAAACAUGAUAAAAUAUUAAAGAACCUCAAACAAUCCAGAAAAGAGGAUAGAAAGAGAAAGGAAAUUUGUGGUGAUAAAAAUAGAGGAGGUUAUAGUAAGGGAAUAGUGGAGUCGCCUGAAAGAGAAGAACUGGGUCAGGUAGAGAGGGUAGAAGAACAUUAGGUACGUGUGUGCUCGCUUUGGCAGCACAUAUACUAAAACUGGAAUGAUACAGAGAAGAUUGGCAUAGCACCUGUGCAAGAAUGGCCCCAGAUUUGUGAGAUGCUCCAUAUUUUUGCUGAGUGAAGUAAGCCAAUCCCCAAAAAACCAAAGGCUAAAUGUUCUCUCUUUGAUAUGUGGAUGCUAACACACAAUAAGGAGGGCGUAGGGAAGAAUAAUAAGUUCGUUGGAUUAGACAAAGGGGAAUGAGGGAAGGGAAGGGGAUGCGAAUAAGAAAGACAGUAGAAUGAAUUGGACAUAACUUUCCUAUAUUCCUAUGUAAAUAUACAACCAGUGAAACUCCACAUUGUGUACAACCACAAAAAUGGGAAGUUAUACUCCAUGUAUGUAAAAUAUAUCAAAAUACAUCCUACUGUUAUAUAUUACUAAAAAAAACAAAUAAAAAUUAUUUUGAAAAUAAUUAAUAAUAACCAAAAAAAUUAGGUACAUUUCCCACCCCUUCAGUCUUCAACACAUUAUAUAAUGCACUUUUAACAAAUGUUACUGGGACCUGAUCUGGACCAAGUUCUGUGGUAAGUGACAAUUAAUCACGGUUAAUAGGAACUUUUUCAUAUCCUAAGACCUAGUGGGGGAAAUAUACUCACAUAAAAACAAUUGCAAAAAAUAUGUUUGGGGAUCAAAUUGCUAUUUGCAUAAAAUUUUAUAGUAUAGAGAAAUUAAUUCUGCUUGGCUGAGAAAGUUUUCACAGAUGUGAUAUUUAAACUGGACUUUAAAUGACAGGGAUGAAUUUAUUUGUUGAAGAAUGUGCAACGGAGGAGGGAAAAUUAUUUGGUAAAGCAUUUCCCAGACAAAAUGAACAGUAUCAAGGUCACUCCAACACAUCAGACACUGUGGUCUACCUUUGUGCUAGCAAAGGCAAGGAAUCUUCAUGUAUGAUUCGAAGCUUCAGUAGGGUUGAGCAAACUCCCACCAACUACCAGAGUGAUCACUGGCAUACAACCUAGGCAUAAGAAAAUUACUCAUCAUUACUGUUCAAAAUGGCAUUUAGUCAGGCUUCCCUCCCAGGGAACCCAAUUAUAUGCAAUGUUCUUCUGCAGACUCAUUGAAAGUUUCAUUAGAGAUUUACAAUACUUGCCCUCUGGGAGCAGAGUAGGUAAGCAAGGAGAAUUCUCUCUUUAAGUACAAGUGAGUUGGACAGAUAAUUUCCUCAAAAUAUUUGACUUGCUGGCUAAAGCUGUAACUUCUCUGUGGGGGUCAGUGGAUCUGACAGUUGUGUUAAUUCAGGGAUCCUGGUCAUAGCUUUCAUUGAAUGUCCUUUGGAUCCAUGGAUUUUUUUAUCUUACUAAUAUUUAUUACUGAUCUGAAAUAUUCAGUAUUCUACCUCUACAUGGUUUUCUCUUCUCUCUCUUCUCUCUCUCUCUCUCUCCCUCCCUCUCUCUCUCUUCCUCACUGACUUUUCCUCUUUCCUUCUCCCUUGUGGAAAAAUCUUGGCAGACUAUAGAACAGAAAGCUUUGGGAGUCGAAUAUAACUUUUGUGGUUCACUAUCACUAUGGAUUCCUUCAAUAAAGUAAAGCCUUGAUUUUACAGAGAAUAAAACCAAAUAUUUAUUAAAUUUUCAUUACCCUGAGGGCUACACAUAGAUAGAAGAACCUAUCACAGUGAUGACUGUUUUUCUUCAGAAUACAAUUACAUAGCAUUAGUUGGGGAAAUAGCAUAACUAAAGAGCUUCAUUUUAUUUCACUUGCAAUAAAGUAUAGUAGCUUAUUCUUUCCCAAAAUCUUUAAGUCAGAGACCUCUGUCUAUUCCUGAGCCCUAGGUUUAGGUCAUUGCUGGAUGCAAUUGAAGAUACAUUUUAAAAAUCUCCAAAUUAGAUUUUUUAAUAUAAAAUACCUCAGAUUGGAGAGCAUAGGAAACUGUGUGGAUUAGUUAUUAAAUACAGAAUCUGAAGAAAUGCACAGGUAAAGUUGAAAGCUAGUCAACUAGAACAGUUGAUAUUUACUUAGGAUAUAUCAUUUUCCAGGUACUCGGUUAGAUAUUUUAUAUGAAUAAUUUAACUUAUUCCUCAUGAUUUAUACUUUAUUUCACCUCUUCUAUCCUGAAACAUAAUGAUGAUUACUAUCUUUAUUGGACAUACAUGGUGGACUGAGCACUUUAAUUUCAUUAUUACUAAUUCUUACACUUAUCUCCAGAGGUACAAAGAACUCUCCAAUUUUGAGAUGGGGGAACUAAGGCUCAGGGAGGUGCUGUAGCUUGCCCAAGUUUGCAGAACUUAUCAAUGGUGGCAAAGAGCUUUGAUUCAAGGUCACAAUGGUCUCCAAGCCGUGUCUUCUACUCUUCACUCCAUGGCUGAGGAAACUGUUUUGUUAUUUCUCAUGAAUACGUUCUUUGGUGGAAACAAUUUUAAAGUAAGAUUAUGAAAAGAAGAGCUGAACUGAAUUAUUUCUAAGGCCCUUCUGAGAUUUCUAAAUUGAAGCCAAUUUUAAUGUAAUUUCCAUGGACUAGAAAAAUUAGAACACUCAAGAUAAGAGAAGUAGCCCUUUCAAGAUAUAUGUAACUAUUUCUAUCAUGUGGCUAAGGUGUGCCGCUAAUAAUUGUUUUGCCUCUGAGAUUCCAAAAACUUCAUUUCAAAAUGAAAUCAUUAUCCGAACAUUCCAGGGAGGCCUACUGAAAAUCAAGAACAUAGGCACAAAUAAUGAAGUAUAUCCUACUGAAUGUAUUAUAAAUGUGGCGUAAUGUUUUCUGUUUUCUCUCUUGUGGUUUGUUUCUUUUUACAGCAUGCUUGGAAGACUACACAGAUUCCUCUGGGAUGAUAAGUUCUCCAAACUUCCCCAAUAAUUACCCCAAUAACUUGGAAUGCAUUUAUAGGAUCACAGUGGAACCCAAUCAACAGAUUGCGUUGCACUUCACAAACUUCUCCUUGGAGGAAGGCAUUAAUGGAAAUUGCAUAGGAGAUUUUGUGGAAAUCAGGUAAUCACUUUAAUUAUUUCACAAUGAUCUCUGACAUUAUUUAUCUUUGUUAAUAAUCAUUCCUGGAAAGAUUAAGAAAAAAUACAUGAAAAUUCUUUGUAAAGCCCCCUGCUAUGCUAUGUAAUUCCUUAAAAGAGAUAAAAUUUGUCAUUUGAAGCCUGACAGAAGAAAUAGAAAAAAUUACAUAAAAGUCAGUGGUUAUUUUGAUGUAAUACUUUUUUAGGGAAUGUUUAGAAAUAAACUUCAGAUUUUUAUCUGUGAAAAGAGAACAGAUGGGGCCUGGGGAUGUGGCUCAAGCGGUAGCACGCUCGCCUGGCAUGCGUGCGGCCUGGGUUCGAUCCUCAGCACCACAUACAAACAAAGAUGUUGUGUCCGCUGAAAACUAAAAAAUAAAUAUUAAAAAUUCUCUCUUUCUUAAAAAAAAAAGAAAGUCAGAUGUUUAAAAAAAAAGAGAGAGAACAGAUGUAUUACCACUUUGAAAUGAAAUAUUUGCUAUUGUUGAAUACCUACUUUCUUUAUACCUGCUUUCUAAUUUAAAUUUUAGGCUAUUUACUGUCCAUUUGAUCUAGUUAUAUCACAAAAAUGAAGGCAUGAUAGCAACCUCAUAUUAAAGUUUUCACAGAGUUUUUGAUUAUAAAUAAGGAACCCAGGCACUGUGGCACAUGCCUGUAAUCCCAGUGGCUGGGGAGGCAGGAGGAUCAUAAGUUCAAAGCUAGCCUCAGCAAUUUAGCGAGUCCCUAAGCAACUCAGUGAGACCCUGUCUCUAAAUAAAAUAUAAAAAAGGGCUAGAGGUGCUGCCCAGUGGUUAAGCACCCCUGGUUUCAACCCUGGUACCAAAAAUACAAAAAAGAAACUUUAGGCCUGUGGAUGUCAGUGUAAGGUAUAUUUCUUUCAUUGCCUGGCAUUAUGAAAGAGUGUAUUUCAAAAAUUAUAUGGUGAAGGCAUAUGAACUUAUACAUUGAUAUCUCUCCUUUGUAUUACAUCAAGUUAAAUUAAGAUAAUCAUUUUGGUUUAUAUCUGCAUCAAAUGUUUUAUUUGUCAUUUCUAAUGUGGAAUCUUACAACAUUUAUAAAAUUGUAUUGUAUUAUAUAAGUAAGAAACUAAAGCAAAAAUUGCUGAUAUAGCAUGCUAAAAUGACAUAACUUUCUUAAUUUACAACAACUAAUAAUUGGGAUCUAAUGUGGAAUGAAUCAUCAUGUUUUGUUUGUUUGAAAUAAAGUACAGAUUAUAAACUAGACUGAAGACCCUAAAAAGUUUUUAGGGAAAUAACUAUUUCCAGAAUUUUUCAAAUAUAUCAAAUAUGAUACAUUAAAUUUUGAAAAUUUCCAUAUUAGAAGGAAAACAUUUAAGAUUUCUCUGUAAAAGUAAGCAAUACUUGUUUAUACUGUUAAUAAUUAUGGUUUCUGUACUCCAUAUUUUCUGAAGUGUUUGCCAGAGGCUUUGAGAAAAUAAAGAUUGAACACAUUCUCUCAGUUUGCAAGUGGUUAUACAAGAUGUCAUGCCAGCCAUAAAUGAUAGUUAUUCUUUAUCACAUCAUUCAAAUGCUAUUUAACAAAGCCAAAAUUGAAAACUCAAAAUUGUGUUUUUUAAAGUCAUUUUGAGAGAAGUUGACUGAUUCAAUAAACUGUAAUCCUGCAGUUUAAAUGAUGUUAAAUGUCUAUCCAGUAGUAUUAUCAAUAAUCUAAUGAAUUUUCAUUUCUGUAUUCUGCCACAGAGAUGGAGGCUAUGAAACUUCACCAUCCCUGGGAACAUACUGUGGAUCAAAUCUACCUCCAAGAAUCAUCUCUCACAGUAACAAGCUGUGGUUAGAAUUUAAAAGUGACCCGAUAUUCACAGAGUCUGGGUUCUCUGCUUACUGGGAUGGAUCAUUAACAGGUAAAGAGCAAGAAGCUGCCUUGGACAGGAGAAUCCAAUCUGAUUGGUUUUCUGAUUCUUGAAUUGUCAUUCUGUGUCUAUCAUCACUUGUCUACUUUUUUCUAGUUAUGUUUUAUCAUUCAUCUUUCUAGUAAACUUCAAUAUAGCACACAUUUUUGAAUUUACAGCAGAAAAAAUUACAGAAUUAACAACUGGGUGUGGCGGUGCACGCCUAUAAUCCAAGCUGCUCAGGAGGGUGAGGCAAGAAGAUUGUGUGUUCCAAGCCAGCCUCAGCAAUGGCAAAGAGCUAAGCAACUCAGUGAGACCCUGUCUCUAAAUAAAAUACAAAAUAGGGUUGGGGAUGUGGCUCAGUGGUCGAGUACCCUGAGUUCAAUCCCCAGUACCAAAAAAAAAAAAAAAACAAAAAAACCCCCACAAAAAAACAAACAAACAAACAAACAAAAAACCAGCAGCCAUGUAUUUUGAAGGACAAAGGAAAAAAUUCUAGUUCUCUGGCAUAUGUCAUCGGGCUAUCCUCUUGAUUAGAAAAGGAAAGUCCAUUGAUGUGAAUUGUGAUUAUAGACUAACUACUCUUCUGUGAUGUGGUUAUGCUUUGCACAUUGAUUUAAAGAAAAGUGUCAGUUCAAUAUAGAAAGAAAUUUCAAUUUUAUAAGAAAGGAAAGGGUAGGCAUCUUUCCAUUUCUUUCUCUCGUCAUGCAGUUUCUUUCUCCUAUAGGUUGCGGGGGCAAUCUUACCACUUCCACAGGUGUAUUCACAUCCCCGAACUACCCAAUGCCUUACUACCACAGCUCUGAAUGCUACUGGUGGUUAAAAGCCAGCCACGGCAGCCCGUUUGAACUGGAAUUCAAAGACUUCCACUUGGAGCAUCAUCCAAACUGCUCUUGGGAUUAUCUGGCGGUAUGUGUAGUAUUUCAGUUGAGCUACUCACUGCUCCAUUCUCGUCCAAUACACAUAAUGCAUUUAUUUUUAUUUUUGAUUUUCAGGAAAGGGAGGCAUUUAAGCAGGACAUCCACAUAAGAAAUUUAAGCAAAAUAAAAACUUAAAAGAAAUUUGAUGAAAACAUUAAUCUUCUAAAUACAGUAUUACCAAAUGACUUGAUACAAUAUGUUUGUAAAAUAUUUUGAAUAUGAACUGUUAAGUUGUGGUUAAAAAUACCCUAAAAGGGGUUAUAGAAUGGGUUAUUACCAUCCUCUACAUAAUUUCCAUAGGUAUCUUAAAGACAUAGUAAUUUGGAGAACUAUUUUGGUGAAUUAAAGAAGAUAAUUAGAGUCAUCCAACUGUGACUUUUUAUCAUACCAGCAAUUCACCAUGGUCCAUUAAAAAUAUGAAAAACUACUAAAGUUUCACAAAUUAUAAUCUAGGAAAUCAAAAAUAAAGGAUUAUUGAUGUUAGCAAUGACCUCAAAAUAUGUACUAGACUUUCAUUUUCAAUGUUCAGACUUUAUCCUUAUAUCACAUACUUAUUACUGUGAUGUCUAAAUUGUCUGAGUUCAUGAUCUGAGUUUAUAGGUACUAUGGCAAAUUUUUAAAAGAUAUUUUAUUUCAGGGCUAUUCUUUUAUCUCAUAUAUAUUUUUUUCCUUGCCAGAGUCCUACUGAGUAUUUUUUCUCUAUUUAUUCAGAGUCCUUUAGAUUACAUAUAUAGCCACAACCAUCUAAUAUUUUAAAUAUUUUAUUAAAGGUCUAUGAUGGCCCAAGUACCAGCUCUCAUCUGUUAACUCAGCUUUGUGGGGAUGAAAAACCACCUCUGAUCCGUUCUAGUGGAGACAACAUGUUAUUAAAACUAAGGACUAAUGAAGGUCAGCAAGGAGGUGGCUUCGAGGUCAAAUACUGGCAGAGUAAGUAUGUGUUACAGUCACUCGGUGACUAGAGUGUGACAUCAGACCCUUGAUGAAACUGAGAGAAGUAUAACCCAUGGGUUUGAGCCAUUGAAAUUAAUCUUAGUUUCUUGUGUGAAAUUUUUAAAUUUAAAAUUUCUUCCUCAUAUGAAGAGAAAAUGCUUAGUUAUUAAAUUUGAUCUCCUAUAAGUAAAUCAUCUGACCAAACUAUAAACACUUAAAAGAGUAUGUAAUAUCUUGAGACUGUUACAAUCCAGCUGAAGAUCACUGUAAUGAUUAUUAAUACUUUUUCAUAUCACAUAUAUCACACGUUACAGUCUUCUCAUUAGACAUUAUUCCUUUGUACAAAGUAGCCUCCCACCCUAGGUUUGGUCUUCUACCUUAAAAUGCACCUUAAUUUUAAGGGAAGCUGUGGUCCUUAUGAGUAGGCACAUUUUUUACUGUGGAAAAAACUGGUCCUGGUAGAGAUACUAUUUUAAAUCUUUGCUUCCCCAUAAGGCAAUGUGGCCAAAUCAAAGGGGCAUUGAACAAAAUACCAAAGAUAGAAGACUGAAUGGAACAUAACUAUCUUAGGUUCAUAUGUUAAUACACGACCAGUGAAAUUCCAGAUCAUGAACAACCACAAGAAUGGGAUCCUAAUUAGGAUAAAUUAUACUCCAAGUAUACAUAAUAUGUCAAAAUGCACUCUACAGCCAUGUAUAUAUAAAAGAACAAAUUAAAUUUUUUUUUUUUUAAAUAUCAACAAGCUUGGAGUGUGUCCUGGCCCCCACCCCUUGAAGAGGUCAUUUUCUUCUCUGGGUUUCCACAAUUUCUUUUCAUUUCCUACAAUGAAGAGAUUAAAUUAGAUAAUCUCUUAAACUCUUUUCUCAUUGGGGAAUUAAAUGUUUUUUGAAGUUAGUUUCAAAAUGAGCAUUCAUGAAAAAAAAGUUUCUUUGACUUCAUGUUAUUUAACAAAUACUUGUAUUUUUUGGAAGUAUAAGUCCUUACCCCACUAAAUUUAAAUGGAUCCAUAAUUUUGACACAGUUAUCUAAAAAUGGAAUGGAAAGUCACAAAAUUAUAUGUCACAUACACAGUAUCCCUGGGAUGUUGAAAGAAUAUUCAUGUCUAGCUUUAAUUUAUGCAUGGAUUUGAAGAUUCACAUUCACUUAUAUAUAUUUGACCGAAUUCUCAAUAGUUUUGAAUAAUGCAUUUUAAUAUAUAGCUUUGUUCCUCAGAAGUUCAUCAUUAUUAUGUAUACAAAAAAACUCUUUCAGGUUCUAUUAGGGACACAUCUGUUAGGUGUAGCUUCUAAUUAUUUCCUUAAUUUUAUUAUUGUGGUGCUAGUUCAUUUCAUAGUUACAUUAAGUUUUUUUAUGAAAAGCCUCCUCCUUUGCUUUUUAUUCCUUUAAUAUUUAAUUUUUCUCUCAGACUUUCAGAAUACUUAAGGAGCAAAUUAGUAUUCCUUAAAGGUAAAAUCAGAGGUGACCUGUCAAAUUUUGUAUAAAAUUUUCCAUUUGAAAUUGGAGGUUUGCAGAUAAUAGAAUGUGUGAGAAAUGAGAGCAACCCGUAUGGUUGAUUGAAUCCAUUUUUCUCUGUUUUUCUCAUCGUGGUAUAUGAUAUCUGUGUGCCUAAUAGGUGUAACCUCUUGAAGGCAUUGAAAACAACAUCAUUCUUUAAAAAGCUUUUGCAGACAAAACUGGGACCCAAAGAUUUUUAAAGAGGGAUGGUUUGAAUAUUAACCUUGUUCCACCAAAGGAAGAAUUUGAAGAGACACAAAGGCAUACUUUUCUAAACCCUAAGUUUAUCAUUGGUAUUCUAGGCACCUUUCAGAAUACUGUGUGACCUCAUGAAUAUAACUAUGAACCAUACUUUUCAGAGACACCCUCUUUCAAUAUAAUGUUUAAUUUCCUGCUUUAUUUUAUUGCACACCAUAAAGACAACAUGAAAAAUACUUGAGAAGAGGUACAUAUAUGUCUCGUUCCAGUCAUUAGGAUUGACAUUUACUCCCAAAGGUAGACAUACAUGGAGGUAUUUGGUGUGGUUUUGUUGAAUAUUCAACUGAAGAAAAUGCCACCACUGGAUUGAAGGUUUUUUCUUUCUUUCAAGAUUUAAGAUUUUCAUUUCUUCUUUAAAUCUUUCUCACUUCCCUUUAUUAGGUUAGAAUUUCUUGAUGACUAACUAGAGGAAUAACAGGCUUAGUUGUGGAUUUCAUGCAGAUCUCUGAAUGUUCUGCAAAACCAUGUUGCUACUCACAUUUAGCAUUCACACAGGACUUUGCAUUUUCUUGUUUUGCAGGGGAGGGUACUGGGGAUUGAAUUCAGGGGUACUCGUCCACUGAGCUACAUCCCCGGUCCUAUUUUGUAUUUUAUUUAGAGACUGGGUCUCAUUGAGUUGCUGAGGCUGGCUUUGAACUUGUGAUCCUCCUGGCUCAAUCUCCUGAGCUGCUGGGAUUACAGGCAUGUGCCACUGCACCCGACUAGGACUUAGUAUUUUCAAACCCGUUGAAUUUAAAAAUUAAAAUUUUUACCUCUUCUGAUUGUUAAAGUUAGAAAAACUGAAGAACAAUUUAAUACACUUCUCUAAACAAACAGAGCAUAUUGCUCUCUUAGUAGCCAAGUUAUUCUGCUAUCAUCCAAUGUUGUGCCUAUUUUAACAUGAAUAUUCCAUUUCCAUGACAAUUUAAAGCUUGAGUCACUGAAGCGUCAUUGCCCAUUUGUUCAAAAUAGAGGCACUGUCACUAUAAAAAUGCUGUACCAAAUAUUUAUGUACGUAUAUAGUGUUUUUAGCCUAGUUUAUGUAUGUAUAUAGGGUUUUUAGCCCUGCUAAAAACAUCUCACACACAUCUUGGCACAAUUAUGAAAAAGGUGAUAGUGGUUUUAACUAUCACGCUUGUUUUUUUUCAGCAUGUGAGAACGUGGUGAUAGUUAAUCAGACCUACGGCAUCUUGGAGAGCAUAAAUUACCCACAUCCUUAUUCUGAAAAUCAGCGUUGCAACUGGACCAUCCAAGCAACAAGGGGCAACACUGUGAACUAUACGUUUUUAGCAUUUGAGUUGGAAGAUCAUACAGACUGCUCCACAGAUUAUUUAGAGGUAUGUAUUCUGAAACUCAAUAAAUCAGUGCACUUUCAAAUCAAAGUAGAACAGCCACUUAGAAGUCAUCAUGCAUUUUAGGAUCAAACUCCUAACUCUGCCUGAACAUCAUAAACCACCCAUGUUAUUUGUCUGUUCACUACCUAAUCUUAACAUUAAUCUAUUACAUUAUGUAUGCAAAGAAAUACAUAUGUUUUAGGCUUCAGUGUAAUUUUUUGGACUAAGUGAUCUCAUUAUUUAAAUUGCACAGUACAUUUUGGUUGUUGUUUCUAUGUCUGUUCUCCAGAAAUAAGAGACAAGAAAUAUGUUGGAUUAUCUUGGAUUUAUUUAAUCCCUAAUUAGUAGGAACAAAGUAUCAUGAUUUUGAUUCUUAUUUUUAUUUUAAAAUUUAGGUUCCUUUCAGUUCAUUUUCUUUUUGUUAUAUCAAAGUUUCUAUUUUUAUAAAAAUGAUUGCCAGUAACAUUUAUUCAACUCUGUCUAUGCAAUGCUAUGCAAUAGAAGUUGUUUGAGUAUUAGGCAACCUAAAAUAUGAGGUAAUCUGCUAUUGUUAUAAGGAGAGAUUUUAUUUAUUAAAGCUUUUUUCCCCUAACUUGCAUAUGUAGCUUUUAAGGUUAUAGUUGAAAAGUUAGGCAACUGCCUAUUUUACUUAUUUCACUAUUAUAAUUAUUCAUUCAUGUAUAAAACUUCAUGUUAUAGAAACAUAUUAAUUUAGACAUAUUGGUUUCUAUUUUCACACUUAAUAAAACAAUUUCAUUCAAGUGAUUUACAUAUAUUUUAACAACUAUUUUUCAUCAUUAAUAAAAUCACUUUUUGAGUCAUCAAAUAUAUCUUUAUUUUCAUGUAAGAAAUAUGUAAUACUAUUAAAUUUCAUAUUGUUUUCAUCUUUGCCACCUUUCCACACCACAGUGAUUCAAUGUACUUCUGUGAUUCAAGUUCAAGGUCAUCAGUGAUUUUUAGAAUUCUUAGUUGCCAACACUUUCAACAUCUAGUACUCGUAACUCUUAGGCCAUAUCCUGUGGGGAAAAAAUACUCUAUCUUUGUAAAAAAAUUUUCUUUCCAAUCUUAUUAAAAUUCUAGAAUGGUUGCAGUUGUUUGCAGUUAAUAUUUUUUUUCCAAAUAGUUCUUUUGCUUAUUGAAACAAAGAGAAACACCACUACCUUAAGAAACUGAGGGGCUAAAUAUAAUGAGAUUCCUUUCUUUUCUUUUUUUCUUGCUUUUCAGGGGUAAUUUUUUGGGGGGAUGGUCAUUUACUGGGGAUUGAACUGAGGGACACUUUGCUACUGAGCCACAUCCCCAGCCUUAUUUUGUAUUGUAUUUAGAGACAGGGUCUCACUGAGUUGCUUAGAGCCUUACUUUUGCUGAGGCUGGCUUUAAAUUCGUGAUCCUCCUGCCUCAGCCUCCUGAGCUGCUGGGAUUAUAGGCAUGCCCCACUGUGCCCAGCCAGGAGUAAUUUUUUUGAUUAAAAAAAUCUUAUUUAUAUUCAUAAAAGUAGAGUAUUAUAGAAAUAGUAGGCUUAGUGUUUACCCAUUAAAAGUUAUAUUUACCAAUCAGUCUUCUAUGAAAAUAUGACAUGGCAUGGAACAAACUUAAGAGCAUGAACUUGGCAAUGGUUUUAAAAUCCACCUUUCUUGAUCUAGAGUAAGAUGGACCUCACAAUGUGCUUACCUGGAGCAGUCGUCAUUUUCUUCACAUGGUGACAAGUUACCUUCAAAGCCCCUUGUUUGUACCAUAAGCAUUGCAACUGAUCAUAUCUAUUUUUACCAGUUGUGACUAUUCUCAUGCCCAACUGACUUGUAGACUUCAUGAAAGGCUGCACUGUCUCCUUCCAACUGUAACCUGAGCACUUAUACAUUGGGACAUUAGAGGAAUUCCAGUGGUACUGAUUAAAUUGAAUAUCACAGUCAGAUUUAGAACCCGUCUAAUGACAGCGAUAAUUAAUGAGAAAGAAUUGAAUUCCAGAUUGGCCUUUCUGGAAAUCCCUACAUGUUCAUUUCAAAAUCCUACAACUUUGAGCAUAAGCCAAAACAAAACACAUCACCUUGCAGUGCAUUGCAGGUAUAACAACAUAAUAGUUACCCUCGUGGUGAUUUGAUGAUGUAUAUGGGGAAAGCUAGAGAGAAGACAAAGCUUUUGGACUCGACUUUACAGGAGAUGUUGGCACAGAGAGUGGGGAGGAAAUGAGAUUCGUUUUUUCCAGGAACUGGACUCCACUUCUCUGGACUCACUUAAUGAUAGAACAGUCAUAAGAAAAGCUCAUCAGGUAAUUUUUGGAGGUGUUGGAAGACUCAAAUAAAAAAACAAAUACUUGUUCCAACAUUACAGAGCAGUUAGAGGCCCCUGUCGAUGAUGUGUCUGUGGUGUUACAAGCCAUUUCUGUUGUGCAACACUGAUGGUGAAAGCAGCAGAAACACAGAAUGAGAACCAGAAGUUCAGAAAAGCUUUCCAAAGAACAACACUGUUGCCAGAGAGAGGCAGGAGAUCUUUUUUUCCAUCUCUAUAAGCCAAGGGGCAAGACCAGAGCAAUAGCUACAAUGGCUGGCCUAGGAUGGAAAUUUUUAAAGCACAAAUAGCCAUUUAAGCAGAGAAAAAUCCCAAGCACAAAAAUCUAGCUCCCAUUAUUUUAAUAACUUGUAGUUAAAGUUUUUUUUUUUCAAGUGACUUAGCCAAGCGCCAAUUGAGUGAAGUUACUACAGCCAGAAUUCGGUUAUUUUGAAUUAAUACUGAAACUAUAAAAAGACUUGAUUAGGUGCUGGUCAAACACUAUGCCUAACUUUGCUGAGAGGUGUGGGUUGUUAAGGAUCCCACUGGGUACCAAACCCAUUCCUCAUUGUUUCGUCUUCUGGACAGAUUUGGAAAUAAAAUAUUCAGUGAUAGAAAGGGUCAGUUGCUUAAAAGAGCAAAACUGAAUUGCUCAUUGCAAUUAGAAGUCAACCUUAAAGGAUUCUGUUUGAAUUUCACUUUUUCAUUUGCGUCUGAACCUGAGUUUCCACGUGGAAGAGGAGGUUCCUAAUAGUGACUGAGUGUGUAAAUGGAAGUGAUGGAUUUGGGACAAAAACGGCACAAAGAUAGAUGAAAACCCAGGGUAGGUGUCGGGACAACAGAGAGCAGUGUGAGAUGAGAAGAGGAAAUCUAAGAGGUUACUGUGGUAUGGAAGCCAAGAGAAGGGAGGAUAACGGAAUGGGACAGCAAUCAAGGUAGUGAGAUGCUCUAGCGCAGUAAAGAGAGGUCAGGAUUGGGAAGUGUCUCUUGGGGAUUUGUGUGACUGGGCAGAGCAGUCUUUGGGGGGUGGCAGGAGGCAGAUCACAUUGUGAAGAGGCCGGAAGGAGUUGAGCAUAGACUGAAUCUUCUGGAACAGACAAGAGUGGAGUAAGCUGUGGUCUCUCUCUUCAGGGCUCAUCGUUCCUAUCUCUGACUGGUCCACAUGUGCCAAGCUUUCAUGGAACAUGUUCCUCUGCGUGUUCUCUUUAAGUCACUGUCUCCCCAAGUGUGGCCCCCAGAAUUGGAUGUCACACUCCCACUGACCUGCUCAUGGCCAAGAAGUGUGGGACUCUGUUACCUGAUUCAAAUCCUUCAACAACAGGUUGAAGUUUAAAUGGAGUUUAUUGUUAACCAAGUUACAAUGCUUACCUGUGUCAAGACCCAGAAUCUGCAGGUCUCUUUGUGGGAAUCAGUAUGGCCUUAUGUAGUUAAAAAAAUCUAAAAGGAUAUUAUUCUUAGUAGGUUAUUCUUGCUUUUCUGAGAAUUCUAUCACCUCAUGAUCCUCAUUCAUUUUAGAACAUUAUUUAUUUACAUAAAGACUCAUUGGCCAUUGGCCUAUUAUUUCUCCAGAAAUAAUUGAUAAGAUUGUCAUGCAAGAUGGCACCUUUCUUAAACACUCUGAAGUCACAGAUUCUUUGGGGCUAAAGGGGAUCAAUUUAUUAAAUAUCUUUGGAAUAGUCGGUACUUAAAUAAGUCAGUAAUCAUAGCUAAUAUGUCUUGAACAUAUAUUAUUUGCUAGGUAAUUCUCAUAGCAGUGCUUUAAUGUAGGAAAUAUCAGCCACCUAUGACAGGUGAAAAAAGUGAGGGAGAUACAGGUCAUCCAUAGUUACAAAGAUUGUAAGUGGCAGAAUCAGGCUGUAUGCCAGGCACUGUGGCUUAGGCAGGCUCUCUUGUCCACGGCACCUCGCAUCCCAUGGACUCUCUUUCAGACCUUUCUGACACACUCACAGGGUUCACAAGGGACUGUAGGUGGACCUCUCAGAACCACCUCUCCACUGACAUUCUCAUGAGGAGAAGCAGAUGCUGUUUCAGCGUGACUUCUUCCUAGAAGAGGCCAUGUACCAUAAUGACCUUUUUCUUUGUACAUGCCAGCAAAUUAUUUUUAGCAUCUGAUUUAGCAUUUUUUUUCCAAAAAAUCAAUGGCAAUCCUCCUCAACUGGGAGAUUCCAGAACAAAUCUUUUCCACAUUUUGGAAGAUAGAACAUUUUCCCUAUAGGUUUUUGGCAGCUCUCCUAGCUUUCACUGUUCUGGUUUCUGCUCUACACUCAAAUUGAGCCAUGUGGAAAGGCUUCGUGUCUGUGGAGGGAUUGAUUGUGAGGAUAGUAAAAGACCUUGGGACACACAGGAGGUGCUGAGAAGCCAGGAAAGGCCCAGACGGAGGCAGCUAGGUGGACUCUAUUCUCUCUCAUUUCUUAAGACUCUGUUGCUUCUUUCUGACUGUUUCCAUCUCUCUCUCAGACUUCCUCUCAGUUCCGCAGCUACGUGAUUCUAGCUUCAACGUGGCUACUGCAGCCAUGUCAUAAUGUCGCCUGACCAAGUAUCUCAGGCACUUACAACCAACAGAAUUUUCCCUGAGUGACAAAUUCCCAGCUCAGGUGGCUCCUCUUUUUGAAAGCAAAGCUGGGGAUCUGGCCUGUGAACCUCCAGGCAGUGUGACCAGCUCUGACUAGGAGCAGUGAAGUUGUACCCUCUGCCUGCUUUGCUCCCAGAUUGUCUGUAGGCUGAGGCAGAACGCUUUUGAGCAGGGCCAUAGUUCCUGCUGGCAUGUGGAAAUGAUUUUUUAAACACCCAGGAAUUCACCAGAUGACAAAAUUAGUUCCGUAAUGGCUGUACCUUUUAGUAGUGCAACAUGCCAUUCAAGGGAGCCUGGGAAAAUGCACUUAAAGGAAUUGACCAUUUUAUCCUUAAAACUGAAAUUCCAGUUUCAAAAUCAAACCAGGCAUGUUUCUCCCUCCUCUUCAUCCUGUUAUACUGUUUUCUGCAAGCAUUGGUCCAAUGUACAUCAUUAUGAUUUCUCCUUAAUCAUAGCUUUAAAAAAUAGACUCUUGCCAGGAUCAGUGGCACAUGCCUGUAAUCCCAGAAACUCAGGAGGCUGAGGCAGGAAGAUCCCAAGUUUGAGGCCAGCCUCAGCAAUUUAGCAAGACCCUCAGCAACUUAGCAAGACUCUGUCUCAAAAUUUAAAAAAAUAAAAAGGGCUGGGGAUGUAGCCGAGAGGUAAAGUGCCUCUGGAUUCAAUUCCCAGUAAGAAAGCAAUACAAAAAAUCUUUUUUUUCUAAAUGCACUGUUUCCCAAAACUCAGCUAAUUUGUAUCUGUGCUCAUACAAUGGGCAGAAAGUUUCUUAGAUUGACAUAUUCAGCUGUUUCCCAUUUUAUUGCUUCCCUAAAAGUUACUUCUCACUUUGUUGUCAGAAUUUAAUUUUUUAGUAUCUGUCAUUUCUUUUGAUUCUUCUUUUUCUCUUGUGUUUCUUUUUUCAUUUUAUUCCCUUUUUUGACCCACAAUCUCCUGUUUAUUUUUAAGUCUGAAUUGCCAAAACCUUAAACCCAUGACUGAUGUGUUCAGCCAUCAUAGGUCCUAAGGCCAAUGGAUCACUUGCUACAUGUGUGGUCAGCUUUUCAUCUCUGUGACCAAAAUACCUGACAAAACAACUUAGAAAAGUUUAUUUUGCACUCAAGAGUUUCAGAGGUUGAGUUCAUGGUCAGCUGAGCCCAUUGCUCUGAGCCAAAGGAGAGGCAAAUUGUCAUGGCAGAUGGGCAUGUGGGUGAAAGCUGCUCAGCUCAUUAGCCAGGAAGCAGAAUGGGUGGAGGGAGGAAGCCAGGAACAAAAUAUAGUCCCCAAAGACACACCCGCAAUGACCUACUUCCCCUAGUCCUCCCCAACCUAUCUUCAGUUACCAUACAGUAGUCCAUUCAAAUUAUUAAUCCACAAAAUGGAUUAAUCCACUAUUAAUCCACUGAUGACGUCAGAGUUCUCACAACCCAAUCACUUCCUAAAAGCCCCACUGCUGACCCUUGCGGUAUUGAGAACCAUGUUUUCAACACAAGUUUUUAAAGAACAUUCCAGAUCCAAACCAUGACAUUCCCAAUACUUUGGUCACUUCCACAUUAUCAAUCAAUAUUUUGCCAGCCAGAAUUAGUCCAGAGUACCAUCUCUCUUCACUAUUUUCUUUGCUUUCAGAGAGAGAAUAACAUACAGAAUUCAUCCUUGUAUAUCUUUAUUUUUAUUUUUUUUUUUGCCACAACAGUACCAAUAUAUUUUCUUUCUAGAAGACUGCAGUCUCUACUGUGGAGGUAGCUGAUCAUGGAGGGUAAUAUCCCUUUUACUAGCUACUAAAUCUGGCCACACUCCAAUAUCACUUGAGAAUCUUGUUAGAAAAACAUGUGCCCAGAGGCCACUCCAGGCUUGAUCCCAGCCCCUGGAGAUUCCAGGGGAGCAGGCCUCCCACAAUCCUUCAGGCAAGCACUUGAGGCCACUUCCACGGUUAGCCUAUUUUAUCUUCACUUUAAAUCUCUCUCCCAUUUUAAAGUUCUCUUUAUAUUUUUUAAUUAGGUAUCUUCUUAACAUAUUAUUUUGUGCAUAGUUAAGUAUUUCUUUUCAAAUAGAUCUUACUUUCCCAUUGCUAUGGCUUACCCUAGUCCUGGUGAUACUGCAUUAUUUUACUUAUCUCAUCAUGUAAACAAUGUAAGAUGGACUGUACAAUUUUUGUAUUCUAUUCCUGCACUUACUCCUCUCUUUCUUUAUUUGGCAUCUUCGCCACUAUCAUCUUCCAUCCCAUCCCUUCACACCUUAUUGUUCCUUCCCCUUUUUCCCUUGUGACAGGCUUCAAGUCCUCUUGAUGAUGUCAGGGACUUCUGUCAAAUGCAUUUCCCUCUAGUCUUUGUAAGAUGUAUUUCAUCUCUUGCCAAAUUCUUGCUGAUGUCAUCCUUCUCGCCAGAUGUUUAUAUCAUUAUUUAUUUCACUCCCGUGUCUUUUUUUCUCAGUUGCAAAAUAAUGCAUUUCCAAAGAAAGAAUUGGACAAAGAACAUCACCCCUGUCCCUGAGUCUUUCAGUUCAAUGCCAGUGUGUCUUCUAUGUUUGUAGCCUCGGCAACAUUUUCUACACCUCUACUGUGAAACAUCUGGCCAAUGUGAUAUUGUAAUUAGUUAUGGGAAUACUAGCUCUUAUUAGGGAGAACUGAUGCUUAAUGCAACACAGGUUUAUUUCCAAUCACAUCAGAAUCGAAUGUUGGUGUUGCUGGACUUCCACGUGGUAGUUCAUGAAUUCAGAGAAAGGAAAAGUCAAUUUGGGGGAACCACAUAGCUGUCUCUACCACAAAUGUAGGUAGAUGUUUCAUAAAUGUUCCAAUGUGUUUGAGAAAUGCCAAAUUAAACACAAUUAAAUAGGGUUUGCUGUUUGCUGGUAGCUGUGCUGACUGUGGGACUUAUGCAAGCUUCCCUGUCCUAAAUAUCCAUUGUUCAUUCAUUCAUUCCAUCAGCCAGUAGAAUAUAUUUUAAGACACCUACACUGCGGAAAUAUAACUUCAUCAUCAGUGUUCAUUGUCAUCAUGGAACAAACACAAUUAUCAAUUUAUCACACAAUAAAAAUUUACCACAGGCUCUGUUAAGUGUUGUGGGGGAGAGAUAAAGGGCGGUCUGAAGACCUGAGACCAAGAUGAUAGGUGGGUCAGGGACAGUGUCCCUUCUGAAGAAGGAAGCAUGGAACAGUCACUGUAGAAAGUUGUGUUUGAGGACCUGAAAGAAGACAGGCUUCCAAGGGGUCAGGGCCCUGGACAGACAGAGGCUGUGGGCAGGUUGAGAGCAUCAGUGACUUCCCACAGAGCAGCCGGAGGUGUUUCAAGGUUGUGAGGAGAGAAAUAGCAUGAUCAGAUUGGGAUUUUUAAAAAACAAAACUCUGGCUACCAGAAUAAGUUGGAGAGAAGUAAAAUAUCUGUGCAAAUCAAGUAGAGAGACUACUUCAGAUCAGGUGAAAGAGAUGUGGUCAUUCCUCUGCAUGGAAGAAAACUGAUGAAAUCAAAAGCUGGUAGGAGAUAAAUUUGAAAGAAAUGAGCGAAUGAUUGGAUGAUCGCCGGGAGUACACAGUGAAGGAAAGGAAGACAUCAGGACCCAGCCUCAUAGAACUGCACGCAGGGACAACAAUGAGGACAGACAGUUGUCUCCUCAGGAAGCAAACUCUGUGGGGCACACUGAAGGCAAGUUUCCAAUAGAUAUGCCUUUGAAUUUUAAGUAAUUGACAUGUAUUAGACAUUUGCUUUCCUUAGAGCAUGCUCAGGGAAACACUCUUCUAGAUAUUUUCCAAGUUUAUUCCAUUUUUAUUCUCAUAUAAAUGAGCAUAACUUUUAAAGUUCAUGAGGUGUUAAAGUUCCCCUUCACAUCUAAGAUGUUUAUUUUGAAAACUGCAAGACUAUUUUCCAUUCAUUAAAUGUCUACCAUGUGCUAGCCACUGUUAUAGAGAGUUCCAUAGAUAUUUUUGCCUGUCAUCACAAUAAUCCAGUAUGUUAUGCAUAUUUAAUACAAAGGAGAGCUGGGACUGAGACAAGGAUCAGUCCUCAGUUCAGGAUCACACUUACAAGAAGAGAUGGAGCAUGGGAUCAUGCUCAGAUCUCUGUCACCAGCAUCUGGGCUCUGGAGCCCACCUGAGUUCAAAGCCGGAUUUCCCAUCACUACCUUUGGUCCUAGGCAAGGAAUUUAGCUUCUUGCUGCCUCAGUUUUCUCACAGGUAAAAUGGGGCAAUCAUUGCACCAACUCAUAAAGUAGUUAUAAGAUUAAAGAAGAUAACUUGCCCACCUUGCAAGAACUGUACCCAAGAGAUGUUUAUUAUUUUUCUCCCACCCUGCUUCUGGAGAGAGCUUAUUAAUCCUACUUGGCCAUUUAAAGUCUUCUUGGACAUUUCAAGAAGUUUUUUCUCAUCUUUACAACAAUCUCUCCUCCCCACUCUUUGGAAGUGCCCUCCUCCUGACCUGUCAGUCAGGGGCAGUGGCAAUUCAGCUGCUCAGUAGCUCCCACAGUUCACAGUUGGCUCUUUCUUCUCCAGGUUCCCUUACUCCAUGCACUCAUCUCUUGAUAGAACUUAGACUUCACUCUAUUCCCUCUGGAUCUGCUCACAGGCAAAUUUCUUCUCUCCAUUUAAAGAUGUUUGCAUUAUCCUCUCUAAUAAGGGAAGUAUAAACACAUGUUUGUGUUUGCAGCACGUAUUACUGGUGGUCACGUAAGGCUUAACAGCUUCCAUAUAGAAUCCAAGAACAAUUGCUCAGUUUCCAAGUUCUAAGAUAGACCACAGCCUUUAGUUCUGUAUUGAAAACAACACCAGAAACCGCUCUUGGAGGGAGUCAUUGCUAAAAUCAGAUCUGCUUAAACCAGUUUCUUCUAUCUGCUGACUGGUGGGGGAUGCUAAGAAUAAAGAUUUAAUCCCUUAGUACUCCUAGAGAAUGCCACAGCACCCAAGGAAAAUAGCAGAAGGAAUCUUGCUGAGUCUUCUCUACAUCUGUUUGGUAUAGUGUAGUAUUUCAGAAGGAAGAUUCUGGAGCCAGUGUGCCUAUGUGUAAACCCAGGCCUACCACUUACUAGGUUGGUGACCUUAGAUGAGUUACUUAGGUUCUGCAUGUCUCUAAAAACUGGGGUAAUGCCUGGAGCAGUGGCACACAGCUAUAAUUCCAGUGGCUCGGGAGGCUGAGACAGGAGGAUCAUGAGUUUAAAGCCAGCCUCAGAAACUUUAGUGAGACCCUAAACAACUCAAUGAGAUUCUGUCUCUAAAUAAAAUAUUAAAGAAAGGACUUGGGACGUGGCUCAGUGGUUAAGCCCUCCUGUCCUCCUGUUCAAUACCUGGUACAAAAUUGAUUGAUUGAUUGAUUUUUAAAAUGGGAAUAAUUGAGUUAAUAAUGUCAAGAGUCAGAACAAAGUCAGGCACAUUGCAAACACUUAUAUAAAUGUUCACAGCCAUUAUUUCAAUUGAUGCAGGUGUUAAAGAAACGCCUUAGAUAGCAAUUCAGAGAAAUUCAGAGAGUAUUCAGUUCUUCAGGCUGAGAUAUAAUUAAUAGUUAAUAAUAAUUCAUAGUUAAUUAGUAAUUACUAGUUCUUUUCUCAAGACACUUAAUUUUCCUUUUGCUUUUUGUCUCCAGACUGCUUCCUUGAUACAUUUCGGUACUUCUUACAAAGGAUAAAUGAUAAAUAAUAAACUUAUUUUAAUCCACUUAUUUUGCCGGAGGCUCUGUUAAGAAAUAAAUUGAAAGCUGCCCAAUGACACAGGCCUGCAAUGCUAGCCACUCAUGAGGCUGAGGCAGGAUAAUUGCAAAUUCAAGGCUAGCCUGAGCAACUUAGUGAGACACUGCCUCAAAAUAAAAAAUAAAGAGGGCUGGGGAUGUGGCUGAGUGGUAAAGAGACUCUGGGUUAAAUCCCCAGUAUCCACCCCUUUCCCCCGCAAAAUUGAACUACUAACCCUCUACAUAAUCUCAGUUUCCAGAACUCUAAAUGGAGAUAACUAUACUACCUGUGUUAUGGAGCUGCUAGGAAUUUUAAUUUAGAACUUUUUUGCAGCACAGGGAAACUGCCAACAAAUAUUAUCUACAAUUAUUUCAACAUGAACAUAAUUCUAUGAAUUAUUUUCUGCUCUCUGAAGCAUUUUGCAGUACAGAAAAAGCUAUGGUUUCCAGAACAGCCUUCCCAACUAUGAUUAACAUAGAUUAACACAAAGUGGCCUCAUGCCCAUGUAUUGAAAGAGGGGCUCCUUCCCCUGCCUCUCGGUUUUCCUACAAAAGCCCUGAAGGUACUGUUUGAAUCUGAGAAGUGCAGUGGUUAAAAUCUCACUUGCUAGUUGAGAGAAAUGCAGAGAAGCAAAAGAGACUUUGUGUCUGAGCAGUGGUGUGUCUCAGCUCAAGCUCAUUAUCAGGGUGCCUUAAACACUUCCUGGACAGAUGAGUCAUGCUUCCUGGAACUGUCUGUCAAAGGAAGUUAGCUUCUAGGACUCUGGCCUCUUUCUUAGAGCUCAGAGAUAAGCCAUUACAAUUCUGAGGACAGCUGCAAUUCUAAAACAUAAAGAGUAGCAAGAAUACACUGAACAAUUCAGUUUACAGUUUAAUACCAGAUAGAAGUCUAGCACUCUACUGGAAUGAUCUGCCUUCAAAAGAAGUUUAGAAUGAAGUGUAUUUGUGAGUGUAUCCAAAAGUUAAUUAAGCCCUACUCUUUGUAAUGUCAUUAAGUGUGGCAAGAGGCAUUUUAUAAAAAACGUUGGCUCCAAAGUUACCUGGGUAAAAUGUGACCUGUUUAAUUGCAAAUAAUUAAAAAGAGAGAUGUUUGAGAGAUUUUGGUCAGUGUGAUCAAAAUCCCAUAGUGUUUCAAAAAGAAAUGCUAAAUUUUUCUGAGCAUCCCUCACAAUGAAGAAUUUUCAUAUGUUUGCAUUAAUUUGGUGCUGUUAGUGAGGCAAAGGUACCAGCCUUCAAAAGGGAGCUUUGGGACUCAAAGAAACUCUGUUUCUGCUCUCGGUAUUUGCUCAAACAAGAAUAAACAAUAAUUAAACUGACAACUUCCAAACUACCUUUAAACCAGUAAUGAUCCCAUCAGAUGCUCUAAACUUGAAGUUGUUCUAUCCACACCUCCCUUCCUGGUUUGUUUUCACUUUGCCUUCUUCCUCAGGCAGGCCAAAGUCAGCAAAUUCACAUGAGUCCCUCCUGCCAUCUAAACAGGCCCUGGUAUGAGAAAGAAUGCAUUGAUUCCAAUGAUGACUUUUAAAUAUUGGUAAUCAUUGUUGUGACUUUUGGUUAACUAUCUCAAUUUUCUACUUUCUAAAUUGGAAUAUUUGGGGGAAAAAAAUAAUGACAUCGUUACCUUUCAGUUUCCACACCAUUUAUUUAAUGGGCUUUCCCUUCUCUUGCCGACUCGGAAAAGGGCCUGGGUAACAGGACUUUAGGUCUCUCCAGCUCAAGGUUCUGGGAUUUCAUGUUGUUCUAUUACCCAGAUUGUUCUGUAUUCAACAAGUCCAUCUUCAGCAGAUGGGGAGGCUUUUAGGAAGUAGAAUAAUAAUAAUAAUAAAAUGGUUAGUGUUUCUCUGUGGGUGGGACAAUUGGUGGAGGAAAGCCUGCAGUUUAUGGAACAAAGUGUCCAUUUGUACACAAGAGACCACUGUUGGCUUUUUCAAAGCAUUUCACUUAAGACUGGGGAGGGAGGGAAUUAGGCACUCACUGUGCCAUCAGUGGCUAUCAAAACUUACAUUGAUAGGAAGUCUUUAGUCCCUGAACAUCUAAAGGAAUUAUUUUUGAAAUAUAUAAUUAGCCUAAUUAAUAAUAUAAACCUAGUUACGAUAGAAAAGAGAUAUGAAGGACAAAAUGAUUUUAAAUUAAUGCUGAAGCAGAUUAUCUUAUAUGAUAACAUUUUAAUGAACUAGUGUUGAUGUAUGAUCCUGAGUUAAAAGAGAUUAUGGAGGUAGACAGCAUAAUAUUGUUAGUAGACCAGCUGGGUAUCUGAUAGCUUAAAAGGAUAUGAAAUUCUAAGCUUGGAAAAACAUUACCAAUGCAUAUUACUAUGCCCAUAGGUCCCCAAAGGUAAUGCUUUAAAAAUAAAUUUAUCUAAUCUCAAAGGAAUACAUAGUUAUUGCAAGAAAUUGGAAAAACAGAAAAACUUAGCUGUAUUAAAAAUAACCUAAGUUACAUCCCUACUAGUAUUAUUAGAUGCUAUUUAUUUGCUGUGGUUUCUCUGCAUAUAUUUAUUUCUUUUAACAUUCAAAGAUUAUUCUGUACAUAUAAUCCUAAAAUGACUUAUUUCUAGUUUGUGGACUUAUUUAUUUGCCAUGUUAUUUUCAGCAUUACAAACUCCACUGUCACCGUGGAGCCACCAGCUCCUACCACCAAGCACUUAGAAUCAUUUAAAUUUUUGCUGUUAUAAAUAAUUAUGAGAUUAACAUCUUUGCAUUUAAAUGUUUGCCCACACCCGUGAUUAGACAUUGAUUUAAAAAAUGAAAAGACCAAAAUCAGGCUUUGUGGCUUCUAGUAUGAGUAAUGCACAGAAAGCAGAAAUAAACACGUAAGAGUGGGUAAUAAUUAUCACACAGAAGGGCGACAGUAUGGUCUGGGUUUGAGACAGCUCUCUAAUUCAGAGUCACACAGAGAAACUCAGAAUGUGGUCUCUUAAGUGCUGGUCUCUUUGUAUGAGAGUAAGCUCUCAUGCAAAGCCCAGUGUUAUGAGUAAUUGUUAAUUUUAGAUGGAUAUUUCAUAUUUCCUGCCCCACCCUGUCAGCACAUGGCAGUAUGGCUUCUUCUGUGACUGGAGAAAAUGCAUGUAAGCCUGUGUAUGAGAGGCACUUGUGAGUGACAUGUGUCUAGCUGAGGGGAGGGGACUUGGCCUCUCCAGGGUCAUCAUCCAGCCUCUUGGGCCUAUCACUCUUGCUUGUCUGCCUUCCUCUUGGACCUUAGCCUAAUUUACCCUCUUCAACUUAGUUUUAUAUUCACCCCCCUUGGGGCUCCUCAUCCAUAGUGGGAACCCCGUACCCUGCUGCGUGAUUCUUCUUUGACUCUUUCUGCUGUUGUUCCAGGAACAUUUCAAAAUUUUUAAAAUUUAAAGCAAGCUGUGAGUGUUCAGGGUUUAUUAAGAUGUGUGUGUAAACUUCAGCAACACCACACUUGAGCCUUAUUCUCAUGAACCAGCUCCACAGAUCCUGCUACAGUUGUGGUGUGGAGUUAGGAAGAUCUGAGCAGGCUCACCAAGAAUUUGCCAGCCCUUUGGAGCUCCAGUAAUCGAGCCUCUGGAGCUGCAGGGUGGGGCAGGCCAGCAAGGGGAGAGGAGGCUGCAACAGGAAAAAACACUGUUGCUUUAGCAUGUAGGGUCGCUUUUCUUGCCAGUUGAUUCUCCCUCCCCCACCUCACCAUGGUAGCCAUGAGAGCUUCUGAUUUCCUACUCUCUUUGCUCCCAUCCGCUGGCCUGAUUACCAUCCUCCCUCAAACUCCAACACAUUCCUCAUGCUUAUCUUUGUCCCACUCAGGAUGAUUUGCAUUGGGCUGAACAUCCAGCACGUCAGGCAUGGCCUCAGUGUCCACACAAAACCAGGUUGUCAUAGCAACACACUGCAAGUAGGGGCUAUCCAUUUCCUCGCUUGAUUCAUUGCUUCCCCAUCGGCCCUGCCAGUGAUCAUUUCUGUGAAGUGUUUUAUCUGAGUCAGCCUCAGUUCUCUAUACUCAUCAUAUUUCUUUUCUCAAAGCUAUUUUGGGGGAGUUUCUUUGGAAAGAAUGCUGGUUCCCUUUGCCUCUGCUCAAAAGUUAGAAUACCAUUUUUGAGCACGUUCUACAUGGCAGGCCUCAUUCAUACUAAACCUGUUACAUAGUUUGUCUCAUUUGUCACAACCUUAUGAGGUACGUACCAUGAGGAUGCCAAAUUCAUAAAGAACGUAAUUUUCACAAGAUUAUGUUCUAAGCACAUUUUGGAGCUAGACUGGAAACCCUGCCCCUUCAUGACCAGUUUGACUAUACUCUAGUAUGACCCUGUAAGUGAAUGAUUUUCCUGCUUCUGUUUGAGAUAUAAUCUUCUAUCAGUUACCUGACUUCAAAAGCCUGUUAGGAACUCAUCGAGUCUAGUUCUCAUAAAUACAACUAGCUUCUUUACGUUGACUAGAAUAUUCCCUGCCAUGAUGGUGGGUUCACUACUAUACCCCAAUUCCUCCUCACAGCAGAUGAAUUCUUUCAAUUAUGUAUUUAACCCUAAAGGAUAAAGCUUUCACUGGAAUUGUUAAAGACUGCUAAUAGGAAACGGGCUAAUUUUUUUUCUGGAAGUUUCUCCUAUUUUAGUGAUCAUCUAAAAGAAACUUUAGAUUCACUUCCUCUAUGUGGACUAUGUUAAGUCUGGAAUGGCAAGGCCCCUCCCCCUUUUUCUCUUUUCUUUUUUGCAGUCUGGAGGGUGCAAGGAUUCUACCAUGAACUAUGACCCCCAGUCCUAAUUCUUAAAAUUAAUCUUCCAUUAUUGAAAAAAAAAAAAAGAAUUUCCUUCCAGAAAAACUUCUAGGAAAUAAGAAAAAAUACUUAGAAGAGGUCUGAAUUAGGUCUGAAUUAGAUUUCAAUCUAAAAUAGAAGGGCUGGCUGGGGAUGUGGCGCAGUGGUAUAGCACUGGCCUAGCAAGUGUGAAGCCCUGCCUUCAAUUCGUAACACUGGGGGGGGGGAAGCUGAGUUUUUACUCACUGUGAUCCUAAAAUGGGUUUUUAAAAAGCCAAUCUAUACAUCUGUUGCUCAUUUGGACAAUUAAUUAUAAUUUUCAUUCACUAUAGUUACAGAUUUUCGAAGUCAUAAACAACAACAAAGAGAUACUUUAUUUCUGUUCUUAUAAUUCCUAAAGUUGACUUCUCCUGAAGGAAUAGGUAGAGGUGUGUAUGUUAGGUGGGUCUGGGUCUUUUCUCACUUAGAACUUGACUUCCAGGGAUUCCUAAAGUUCCUACAAACAAAACCCUUCAUCUUGAGAGAAUUGGACUAUCUCUGCCCAUGACUGACCACACUGUGUCUUCAGUUUUAUUUAUAUCUUCCACCUUGUUUGGGUCCUUAAUGUUUAGAAUAUUCCUAUGCAUCAUUUCAUACUGCAACCAGAGUCUAAAGUCACUAAUGGUCUAAUGAAAUAUAUUUUUACAAAUUAUCAACUCCCUGCAAAGAAAGUGGGUAGACAUUGGUAAGUGUGGCUUAGGCAAGAGAUUUCCUUCCUCUUUGUGUGUUCUAAGAGUGGUUAAGAUAUUUGGGGCCUGGUUUGGGGUAAGGGUUAUCUAAGCCACAAAAAUUUUGAGUAGUCAGUCUUCUUAAGAGAAAAACUAGAAAGAUUCUACACAGAUUUUAUAGUAUACGAAUCUCCACCUUGGUAGAUAUAUUUAAUGGCCAACUUGAAAAUGUAAUUAUAAUUUCUGUAUUUUUUAAAAAAAAUCUCUAAAUAUCAUUAUACAGAUUAGAUCUGCAUAAUCAAAGUAAGAAUCUCAGUUGUUCCCUUCUUAGUUUCUUCUAGUUUCCUUUAAAUGAGCUUAGCUAGAAAUUCAAGUAUUUUCCACUCAGUGUAGAUUUCUGGCUCUCUAAAAGCAGAAGAAACCAGGCGUUUACUAGGUCCAAGUUGGCAAACUUGCCAGUAGUCUCGCAAUGAGUCACAGCUGGAAUGUCCUGUGGUUAACAUUCUGCUCUGAAAACAGAGUCAAGAGCACCAAGACACCAACAGGUUUCCAUGGUAACCUGUAUUUGUGUACUUUGAAAAAUGACUGUUACUUUUUGUGCGGUAAAUUUACGCGGGAAUGAAUUGUGAAGGUUGACAUUAGCCAUCUGUGUGAAUACACACACACACACACACACAAAAACUGAUUUAAUUAAGUGUAAACGUUAAAAGGACAUAAAACCCAGGGGUAUGGGUUUCUUUUCUCCUCUCCUGGAGGCGUUGUUCUACACUAAUUAAUUCAUUAAUUUAUUUGACAUUAUAUGUCAGUGUUUUCAAGCAUCUAUUGGAUAUUUAUUUCAGUGAAUCAUUCCUUCCCCUCCAAAGGCAAAAAGAAACUAAUUGUCAUUCAUCAGUGUUCCCCAAACCCACCGCCUUUGCCCCCCACCCUCUGAUCCAUUCACAAUGUGUUAUUUAAGAUCACUGAACAGCUAGGAUGCAGGGCUUUCCUUCCAUGAAGUAAUCCCACCGGAAGGAAGGGGAAAAAAAUCCCCUCACAGUCAUGUGAAAAUGUCACAUCUUUUAACCUUGCCGCACUGGGAGGCAAAAACACUGCAUUGUUCAUGACCUUGAGGAGAAUCAAAAUAUGAUUCCUCAAUGUUUUGCCUCCAGUACUUUGUAAGAUUCAUGGAGCUUGGGUGUAUAUGGAAAUGUUACCUUCAUUUUUCUUGGAUAAAGAUGAAAUCUUUUCAGCUUUGUUCACUAAACUGCAAUCCAGAGUUCAGAAUGAGCCCUUCAGGGUGGAAGAUAAGAAAGUAUUUUCUUACUUUUUAUGUUUCUACUUGGGAACAGAAUGUUUAUUUAUUUAUUUAUUUUUUGUCUUUGGUUUCCAAGUGGACUUCAUGUAACAGACUUAAUAAAAACUCUGAAGCUGAGACACCCUGCAGUAAAGCAGUGAUUUAGAAGCACAGAGAUUGCAAUGGUGGCCUCCCCGCCACCACUUCACCCCUGUAUUAGAGGGGUGAGCCUGAGCUCUGAGCCCAAGGACUUUGUUUUUCUUUUUAAAAAUGUUGUGGUUUGUUAUUGUUUCCCCUCUGUAUGCUCCCUCCCUCAUUAUGGCUUAAUAUGUACAACAACAAAAACUUGAUAAGAAACACACAUUUUCUGAAGCAGCAGUAUUUUUUUUUUUUAAGAAAGAAAUCUAAAGUGAUAAACCUGAAAAAUACACCUCAUCUUAAUUCAGUUUGCUGACAAAACUUAGAUUUCAUACUGAGAGGUGAACAGAAUGGACGUCUCGGCUUCUCUUUUGAAAUCUCUGCUGACCUUCCCCCAAAUCUCACCAACAUGUGUGCCUGAUAAAUAGCUAAGAGACCUCAGGGAGACAGGUCAAGAUUUAGAAAUCGGAUUUAUUAUGACCUUGAACAAGGCUCCACCUCAUUCCCCUUUCUUUCUUUGAUUUUUAAAUAUAUUUUUUAGUUGUAGGUGGACACAAUACCUUUAUUUUAUUUAUUUAUUUUUAUUGGUGCUAAGGAUCAAACCCAGCAUCUCACAUGUGCUAAGCAAGCACACUACCACUGAGCCACCAUCCUGGUUCCUUUUUCUAUGAAGUGGCCACAAAGGGCCCAGACCCUUUCCUGCCUACCAUGAUUAGGCUAAAAUUGAGGACUGUAUGAAGCUAAUGCCUAUCUAGCUAUACAGGAGUCAAGGAGUAGUGCAGAUUAAAUCCUUAAAUGCAGUUGUAGGGAAAUUGUUGUGCCCACUCAUUGGAGAUGUAUUGAGAACCUGCCCUUUAAUGCUCUGCUCUAGGUGGAGAGAGGAAAGCCAGAGGUAGUCUGUCCUGUAAGAAUCCAUAAUCAGUUAGCGGCAAUAAGAGGCCUCCCCUGUGACUAUAAUGCAAGGGAAUGUGACCAUUUGCACAUGAAAGGCGCUAAGGGGUUUCAAAGGAAAACUCAAUUUAUGCCUGAGUGUGGGGAUUAGGGAAGCCUUCACAGAGGUACUCUGUAAAAUUUGGUUAUAAAGUUUUCCAUACUUGAUAUGUUUCAAACUAGUUUUUAUCAUAACAUUUCAUUAAAUUAAAGUGAUUUGGACAGUUUGCAAUUUAUUGAAUCCAGUUACCCACUGAUAAUGCAAACUCACAUAUAGUCUUACAUAUAUAUACAUACUUUUCAAGAGACUAUUCAAGGAAGGUCAUGCAUCUGUCCUCAGAUAUUUUCCAUUUUAGGGCCACAGGAAGCUAAUCCCAAGGGCAACUGGAACAAAGUGUUUAAUGUGGACAUCAAAGGGACUAAGAGAAACUACAAUGAUCUUCCUCAGGAGAAGCCCAACCUUUUGGACUGGCAUUGUCUUUCCCAAGUGAAGAGAGACAGUUUUCUUGUUUGUUAAUUUUUAAUUUGGAGACCUGUGUUUAAUGAGGUUAUUCAAUGAUGCAGAUAAAUGGGGUACACAACAGUUUGUAGAAAUACCUCCAAAAAAAAUGAGUAAAGACCUCAUCAGUCUAAAUAUAAAAAUAAAAAUAAAAAUAAAAAUCUUUAGCCUCAAGAUCCCAAAGUAAUAAAAAUAACCCAAACUAAGACAAUUACCCAAAGCACAACUUUUCACUAUCAGUUAUAAAAAUAAUAGGAGUCAUAACUGACAAAAUUCCACUGAGAGAAACAUCUGUAAACAGCAGGUGAGAGGGUAAUUUAUUAUAAAUUCUCUGGUGUGAAAUUUAAUACUAGUAUAAAAAGAGCCACAAAAGAUUAUAUUCUGACUAAUUCCCUUUGUUGGAAUCUUUUUAAAGACACAUUUAAACAAACAAAUAUUUAUAUGGGCAAAAUUUGGUUAUAUGAUAAAUGAACAAAAUCAAAUGAGAAUGCAAAUCCAGCAUUUAAUGCCACAGUUAAAAAUGUUUACACAGACUAUUUAUUGACAUGCUUAGUGAAAAACAGAAUAUAAUUAGAUAUGUAGCCCAAACUUAUACAAACACACAUACCUGCACAAAUUUAUUAUAUAAAUUUAUAGACAGAUACACAUACAUGUACAUGUGAAAAAGAUUGACCAAAUACAUUUCUAGUACUAACAAUAUAUUAACAGUUUUAUCUUCAGUGUGAUUAAUCUUUAUGUUUUUAUUUUUCAUACCUUCUUAAAAUGUCUGUUGUUGUUGUUAUUUGUUUGGUACCAGGGAUUGAACUCAGGGGUGCUUAAUCACUGAGCCGUAUCUUCAGCCCCCACUCCCUUUUUGUUUUUUUUGAAAUAGGGUUUCCCUAAAUUGCUUAGGCUGGCUUUGAAUUCAGGAUUCUCCUGCCUCAGCCUCCAGAGUCGCUUGGAUUACAUGCGUGCAUCACUGUGCCUUGCUCUAAAAAUGUCUUGUUUUUUAAAAUGAUUUUUGGCGCAUUACAGUUAUACAUAAAGCUGGGUUCGAUUUGAUAUAACCAUACAUGCAUGGAAUGUAAUUCGUUUUAUUUCAGGCCCCUGUACUUCCUCUUUCCCUCUCUUUCUCCCUCCCCUGUUCCUCUUCUUCUACCCUACUGGUCUUCCUUCUGGUUUUUUUUAAUUGUUUUAAAAUUAAUAAUUGAUUAAUUAAUUGGUGUUUUAUAGAUAUAUAUAAAGGUGGACUGUGAUAUAUUUAUCUAGGGACAUAGGAUAAUUGAUAAAUUUCAUUCCUUAGGUCCUCCCUUUUCCAGUUCCUCCUGUCUUCACUCCACCCCCUCCCUCUAUGCCACUGAUCUCUCUUCUGCUUUCAUGGGAUCUGCCUGCCCCUCCCUUCUUCCUUAUUUUACUCUAGCUUCUGCAUAUGAAAAAAAAUUGACUCUUGGCUUUCUGAGUCUUGCUUAUUUCACUUAGCAUGAUGUUUUUUAGUUCCAUCCUAAACUGUGUGAUUUUUUUUACAGUUAAUAAGGAUUUUAUUGACCGAUUUAUACCUUAAAAUUAUAAUAGCUACUAUUCAUUGAGCAUCUUUUAUGUGUCAAUAUAUGAAGGCAGCUCAUUCAGCACCCCCAUUCUGUACCUGGAUUAUAUUUGGACUUGCUACAUUGACAUAAAACCAAAAAUGAAUAGUCAGAUUUCCAAAUUUAUUGGCCUCAGGAAUCACAUUCAUCUCCAAAGCCCUCUUUAUGCAGUAUUCUAAUUCUUACGUUAAGCCUCCUGUAUCCAACCCACUUCAGCAGAUUUUCCUUACUUUGAAGCGGGAAAAGUUUUUGCUACACAAGUAGACUUGGCCUUCUUCCUUCAACAAGCCACAUGAAAUAUUGUUACAUUGGAAAAUGAUUCUGAUUCCAGCUCUAUGAUGGGUCAAAUCGGAUUGGGCGUUACUGCGGAGCAAACGUUCCCUCGCCAGGGAGUACCACAGGCUCCAAACUUCAAGUGCUGUUCCAUACGGAUGGGGUUGGUCAACGUGAGAAGGGAUUUCAAAUGCAGUGGUUCAUUCAUGGUAAGUCCUGUGCUGAUCUCUACUGUAUUGUACUUGUUGAUUAACCAAGAAUUGUUCCCUUCCCAAUUCUGUCCUUAGGAACAAUACCAUCAACACCUAAGCGAACCAAAGUAGUAAUUUAGUGCUAGGCUGGAGAAAAUUUACUCAGACAUUGGUAGAAGUUGAAGAGUUAAAUUCUUUUUUUUUAAUUUGUUUUUAGUUGUUGUUGGACACAAUACCUUUAUUUAUUUAUUUAUUUGUUUAUUUAUUCAUUUAUUUUUAUGUGGUGCUGAGGAUUGAACCCAGUGCCUUGCACAUGUUAGGCAAGUGCUCUACCUCUGAGCCACAACCCCAGCCCCAAAUUCUUUUUUUUUAAUGUCCAAUGGGUAUUUUUAUUUUUAAAAUUUUUAAAAAUUAAUUAAUUUACUUUAAUUAGGCAUAUAUGACAGCAGAAAGCAUUUUGAUUCAUUGUAUGCAAUUGCAGCACAGCUUUUCAUUUCUAUGGUUGUACCCGAUGUUGUGUCAUGUCAUAUGUACAGACAUACAUGUACCAAGGGUAAUGAUGUCCAUCUCAUUCCAGUAUCCUUCCUGCUCCCAAGCAUCCUCCCUCUCCUCUUUCCCCUUUGCCCAAUCAAGUUCCUCAAUUUUCCCCAUGCUUUCCCCCUCAUUAUGGAUCAGCAUCCACUUAUCAGAGAGAACAUUCGGCCUUUGGUUUUUUGGGAUUGGCUUACUUCACUUAGCAUGAUAUUCUUCAGCUCCAUUCACUUACCUGCAAAUGCCAUAAUUUUAUUCUCUUUUAAUGCUAGGUAAUAUCCCAUUGUGUAUAUAUACCACAGUUUCUUGAUUUAUUCAUCUAUUGAAGGGCAUCUAGGUUUCUUCAGUAAGAGCAACAUUCUGAGAGGGUUCAGAGAGGAGAGUGACGUCAAAGGUGGAAAGAAUUUGGGUAGCUGCUUAAGUAGGCACAGUGAUAAAUGCCUUUGAGAAAGAAGGAAGCCCAAUGAAAUGUGUGUAUUUGGGUAUGGCAAGCACCCUGCAGGGUGGGAUGGGAGUUUCUCAGUACAACAGUAGAAUGAGACCUAAAGCCCACCUUGACAUUAAGCAGAGGAAGAAAGAUAGGGACACAUGAGAAAGAGAGUCAAUCAGAGAGAUCUGGGAAGGGGAAGAGUGGGGCUGAGGGGAGGAACAAGGCAGAGAUUUAUGCUGAACAAAUGAAGCCAGGUGUGCGUUGCAUCUGCCAAACAGGGUAGGGGCCCAUUGGAGCCCACCGACAUAUUGGAAAAGUCACUUUUGUGUUUUAUUUUAUUUUUAGUACUGGAGAUUGAACCUAGGGGUACUUCACCACUUAAUUAUAUCCCUGGUUCUUUUUGGUUUUAACUUUUUAAAUUUUGAGACAGUUUUUCUAAGUUGCUGAGGGUUUCACUAAGUUGCUGAGGCUGGCCUCGAACUUGUACUCCUCCUUCCUCAGCCUCCCAAGUUUCUGGGAUUACACGUAUGUGCUACCAUGCCUGCCUGAAAAGUCAUUUCUUAAAAAAAUGUGUUCCUUUUAGAUAUACAUGACAGUGAGUGCAUUUUAACAUAUUAUACAUACAUGGAGUAUAACUUAUUCUAAUUAGGAUCCUAUUCUUGUGGUUGUACAUGAUAUGAAGUUACCCUGGUCAUGUAUUCAUAUAUAAGGAUAGGAAAGUCAUGUCCAAUUCAUUCUACUGCUUCUCCUAUUCCCAUCCCCCCACCCUUCCCUUCAUUCCCCUUUAUCUAAUCCAGUGGAUUUCUGGUUUUUUCCCUCCCCAACCCCUUUAUUGUGGGUUAGCACCCACAUAUCAGAGAGAACAUUUGGCCUUUGGUCUUUGGGGGACUGGAUUAUUUCACUUAGCAUGAUAUUCUCUAGUUCCAUCCAUUUACUGGCAAAAGCCAUAAUUUUAUUCUUCUUUAUGGUUGAGUAACACUCCAUUAUGUAUAUAAGCACUACAUUUUCUUUAUCUAUUUAUCUGUUGAAGGGCACCUAGGUUGGUUCCAUAGCUUAGCUAUUAUGAAUUGAGCUGCUAUAAACACUGAUGUGACUGCAUCACUGUGGUAUGCUGAUUUUAAGUCCUUUGGAUAUAUGCCAAGGAGUGGGAUAACUGGGCCAAGUGGUGGUUCCAUUCCAAGUUGAAAAGUCAUUUAUAACAAGACAUCUGAUGCCCUGUGGGCCAUUCUAUAGGUAGAGGGUCAGAGCUGUGGUUCUCAAAAUGUGGCCCCCAAAAGCAACAGCAGGAUCACCAGGAACUUGUUAGAAAUGUAAAUUAUUGGCCCCCUGCCAGAACUGUUACAUUAUAAACUCUAACUUAGGCCCAAUAAUCUGUGUCUUAACUGGUCUCCCAGAAAUUAAAGUUUGAAAACCACUGUCCUAGAGUGAUCCAGUCCUUGUGGAUAUCAUAGCAGCUCUUCUCAACCAAGAUAUAACAUUGGUUUAUUUCAGUCAAUGGAUAGGAGAAAUGGAGCUGUGAUACUCUACGUAGAAUUGAGCACAAACACACAGUUGUCUAAUCUGUGGUCCUAUGGUCAAAACCGGAGGUAAGCCUAAGUGUGCUGUGGUUGGCUCGUAGGAGUCUCAGAGCAACACAAAAGUGCCUGUUGCAGAUACCCUGUUUAUUAGAGCAUAACACUUUUCAUUUACAAUGGGAUUAUAUCCCAAUAAACCCAUUAUAAACUGAAAAUAUCAUAAACCAAAUAUGCAUUUAAUGCAUCUUAUCUGCUGAACAUGGUAACAGCCUAGCCUACUUUAAACACACUCAAAACACAUUAACCCUACAACUGGGCAAAAAUCAUCCAACCUGUAACAUCUAUUUUGUUAUAAUAAAGUGUUGAAUAUGAAAUUCAAAAUUCAAAGUAUGGUUUCUAUUGGAUGCUUAUCACUUUCACACCAUCAUAUUAAAAAAAUUUAUUAACUCAAACCCUUAUAAGUCAGGGGACCAUCUGUAUAUACUUAAGAGUGUUGGAUCUUCUGAGGUUACGAGUACUAAGUGUAUUUCUGUUAAAAUGUAAAUAUAAGGUUCUCAACAUUUAAAAAUAGUCAGUGGUGAUCCACAGAGCUUCUUGUAGCUUGAAACAUAGAUGAUGAAUUCUUAAGGUAAAAAGACUAUGAUAAUUAAGUCUGUGGAAGCUCUAGAUUUUCCUCUUCAUCAAGUAGGCAAGUUUAACCUUAGAAUGGUCAACGCUUUGUGCUGAGAGCCACAGCUAAGUCGGAAUGGCCCCUGGCAUUUUGCCAAUAGUAUUGAUUGACAGGCAAGGCAUUACUAUCCGCCUUGGCUACUACUUUGCAGUUCUCACGCUACUUUGGAGUUCUCGUGGGGAUUCCCGGAGAGUUCCCAUUGGUUGGGGAAGUGCAGGAGGAUGGAUUUCCGGAGGAUAUUUCUGGCUGCUGGUUCCUGGAGGAGCCGCGUGGCGUGCGGGAGGAGUUCCCGGGAGCGUGUGUGGAGUGUGCUGGUGGAGUUCAGAAAUAAAGUUUGUUCCUGCUUCAGUGGCUCAUGAUUUGUGCCCAGCCAGACUGCGGCAGCUUUGGACUAUCAAUGUGAAAGGAUUGGACUAAUUCAUUGCUACAGCGUAGUCUUUAGUACUCUUGAUUCAGAAACAUGAUUAUGAUUCUAAGUAAACUAGAGACAAUAUGAGAGAACAUAGAAAGGACAGAAAAUCCUGGAAAAUGACCCAUUUUUCAAUGGCUAGGGAUAUUAUUCUCCAGAGCAGUGUUCCUUAGUUUUUCAUGUGCACAGAAUUGUUCCCUUCUUUCCUUCCUUUUUUCUUUUUCCCUCUCUCUUUUUUCUUUUUUGCUGUGCUUGGGAUCAAAUCCAGGGCAUUGUACAUAUGAGGCAAUGACUCUCCCACAGAACUACACCCGCAGCCCUCACUGGGCAUCUUGUAUAGAGAAAGGUUCUGAUUUAAAGGACCUGUGAACCUGCAUCUCUAGUAGGGUCCCAGGUGAUGCCGAUGGUGCUGCUCUCUGGACCUCACUUUGAGGAACAAGGUAAGAACAGGUGCGAAGCCUGGAGAAACGAAAGGUAGGAAGGCAUUAUCCUUAGGACUGAUGAAUCCUGAGGUGUUCCAAGGGUACACUGUCCUAACAGUUUGUUUAAUGGCAAUAGGAUGGUAGCUGCAAUCCCCGCAGCUAUUUCGAAGAUCCAAAGGGGAGGAAACUUCCCCAGGGGAGAAGUUAUGAAGGGAAGUGCUAACCUGGGCUCAAGACCUCAGGAGAUGUCCUAAUCCUGGAGCCAUAUUGGAAUUACCAAGAAGUUUCAAAAAGUACCCAUUCCUGGGAUCCAGCUCCCAGAGCUGGGAUUCAGUUGGUCAGUGGUUGAUGAUGGCUACAUUUUUAAAGCCUCCCUAGGUAACUUGGUCUUGCAGUCAGGAUGAGUUUCAGAAACAGUGAUUUUGCUGGUUGUAUCUUGCUGCCCAGACAGCCACUCCCCUUCUUCUCCAGGCUGUGUGGCCAUACUAGCCCCUGGCCACCCUGAGAACCUGAUCAAAUGAUCCUUGUUGGCUACACCCAGAUGACUGUAUCACUGGGUUCUUCUAGCCAACAUAAAGGAAUCCUCUGAUGAAAGCUCUUAGUUUUUACUGGGAAAAGUUUUUCUACCAGUUCUGUUUAGAAUCUGCCUUCUUUUGGGAGAGUCAAAGGCACCCUCUGUCUAUUCUCCUUUCCUGUUUACUAUUUCAAAACUUUCCCCCAGUUGCCGAAAACUCACUAAACUUGGAGCCAGAGUUGUGCAACAGCAUUUUGCCUGUUGGGACUAAAACUGGAAGAAAAAAAAAUUUUUUUAACUCUGUGUUUCCCAUUUAAUUAUACUUGGUAAGCAUCUUUUGGAAGGGGAUUGUCAGUAGCUUAUAUAUUUGCAAAAUUAACUGGUAUAUACUGCAUUUAUGCAAUGCCACAAGUACACAGAGUUUAUGAUCCUCAUCCGAACUGUGUAACUGCAGAAUUGCAGUCCUUAAGGAGACUGGGUUGCUGAGCAGUGGCCACAAUAGGUGACUCUGGCAACUAAAGGGGCCACACCAUCUUUCCUCUUGCAAAUCCUUCAUACUUCAUAAAAAUGUAUUUUAAGUAGGGUCCCAAAUAAUCGGAGCAGUAUGGUAAGUGGUGAAACACCAACUCUGGAAUAAAAUACAAAAUACAGAAUAAAUGUUAAAGUUAUAGUCAUUAAUUGCUUAAUGAUGGGGAUAAAUUCUGAGAAAUGCAGUUAGCCAGAUUCAUCAUUUUAUAUGAACAAUAUUUAUGCUAAAUGAAACAGCUACCAUGUCACUUAGUAAUGUAAUCUUAUGGGAUCACCAUAGUAUAUGAGGUCCAACGUUGGCUGGAAUGCAUUAUGUGGCACAUGACCAUAUUCUCCAUUUUUAAAUGCAGUAUAGUUAUGUUCAUGACUGUGUUUGUAUAUGUUUAUAUGAAUGUGCAUAAUCCAUCAGCAGAAAAAAAAUCAAAACAACAGUCUCUGCACUGCUCCUCUAAGUGUCUGCCCAGGAUAACAUAGAGGGCUCAGGACUCUUCAGACUGACUUAGCCCAAGAUGUUCUUCUUCAUUUGGUCACUUUAAGCUCUACUAACAUAACAUAACAGUUUAUUCUGAAUCAAAUAUGAGUGACCAUAGCCCAGGAACACAGAUUCAAGUUACCUUAAAUGAUAUAUUCUACCAUAAAAGAGGCUGCUUGAACUUUUGUAGUCACAGAACAACAACAAAUAAAACAAAUCAAUAUAUACCAAUUAAUUGGUGGUAGCAUCAGGUAGACAGUCCACAGGAAGGCAGGGAAAUCUCUUCCAUAGGUUUCAGAUGUGAUAGCAUCUUAGCUUUAGGGCUAUGGAGACUAGAGGUCUGCCAAGUUUAGUGAUACAUUCUGAAAAGCUGCUCCAUUAGUAAUAAGGAUGUUAAGUCAGACAUCAAAGAUAAGGUACAUGGCUAUGAAAGUGUCUAAGAUAUCUCAAGAAUAACUUUGGCUCUUGACCUUUAACAUUCAAGUCAGCUAAGGUCAACAAGUCUGCAGAAUCUUUAAUACCAGUACACUUUCUUCAGAAAACUUCAAUCCCAACUCCUGGCCUCUUUUCAUCAGCAUCAAAUCACAUUCGAGGCCUUUUCUCUUCUUGCUCUUUUUCGAAAUAUGCACUAAACACUGGGGGCUGAGGGUGGGGAUGGGGGUGGGGCUAUACAGAGAGCUCAGAUGUACGAUGACAUCAUUUCCUGAGCAUUGCUGUUGAGGAAGAAUUCCUAUAUAUUGUAUUCAUUUUGCUAACUAAUAAAUAAAUCCGUUUACCAAAUGUGCUCCUUUGUCAACUGCACAAGUCUUCUAUUUACUUUGAGAAAAUGGAUCUACAAAUGGGCUUUCUCUGUGGCCCAUUUUGAAGUGGCUCUGUAGAUGUGCGAUGAAGCCACACUGGCCUGCCUUUAUGCAGGUCCUCAAAGAGAGUCCCACCCUGGGAAUAAAGAAAUGGCCACAGUCACGAUAAUCGGUUCACAGUGUUCGGCAUUGAAGGCUUUGUUUGGAGGCUGAAUUUGGUCUUGGGGGCCUCUGUCUGGGAUGUUGAAGGGCAUAUAGAAUUUUCCACAAGCUGUGUGAAUAGGGGCCCCCCCAGCCAGCUGUGCACACCCCUCCUCUCUUCUGCUCCCGGGGGGCGCCUUUCACUUAGCAACAGAAUCCAGCCUACAGACAAAGUCAAGGAGCUUUGUGAAGAAAAGAGUGACAUUUGCAAAGGAAGCCUACCCUUCAGCUGGGAGCCCCUAAGGGAAGGGCUCGGUGAUCAGGAGGUGAUGUCACUCUGGACUUCCACAAAGGGAAGAGUGGCCUUUUCUUGGGGAAAUAGAUGAUGUCAGCCUCCGAAAUGGGAGUUGUAUGUUUUAUCAUCUUUUUAGCUGUUUGUGAGAUUUUUUCAAUCCCUUAGAAUUUUCAGAAAUUGGUCUGGGGAGAACUUUCUUUUGUUAUUUUUAUUUUGGUGCUGAGUAUGCAAGUCCUAUGCAAGUGCUUUAUCAUAGGGAUACAUCCCCAGCCUAAGGAAGAAUAUUUUAAAAAUCAUCAGGAACCUCCAUGACCAUCUCUGUUGGAAAGUGAGCAAGCAUCUUCGUGGCUGCCUUUGGACAUGCACCAAAGGGCUUCCUACAAACCUGUUUUAGGAUACCAGCAAGGAACCUCCAUGAGGUCAGCCGUGCCUCUCUUCAACCUUUGUUCCAAUUUUCUCCCUCAAAUGGGCUUUCAGUAGUUUUUUGUUUGUUGUUAGUCUUUUGAGGGAAUUCCUUUGAAUUUGUCAUUUGUAUUCCUUUAGGUGACUUAGAGAUGUGAAGUGGAGUUUUGGGGGUUCACUCUUUGGGGACGAAGAUUUUAUCUGUUGUAAUGUCCUUAUCCCUUUGUGUUCCAUGCUCAGAUGCUGGGUCAUCAGCUUUAGGGUGUGAGGGUGAGUCAGCUGGGCUUGUUCUCUGAAGGGCAGACGGCUUACAGCUGUGAUUCAUGUUACAUCGAUGACACAUAACCUCUAUGAGCAGGUCUUUAUUGACAACAAGAUUUUUAUUCUAUCAAUCAUUCAACCAACUCACCAGCAUGUAUUUAUUCAUUCACUCUCAGACCCUGGGCUUGGGGUUUGGAAUAUAGAGUAUUAGUUUGCUCAGGCUGACAUAACAAAAUACCACAGUUAAGGUGGCUUAAACAACAGAAAUUUACUCUCUACAUUCUGGAGCCUGGAAGUCCAAAUCCAAGGUCUGGCAGCGUUGGUCUCUCCUGAGGCCUCUCUCUUUGGCUUGCAAAUGCUCAGUUUAUUGCUGUGCCCUCACGUGGUUUUUCUUCUGUGUACACUCAUCCUGAUGUCUUAUGUGUCCAAAUUUCCUCUUCUUAUAAGGACAGCAGUCAGAUUGGAUUAGGACUCAGUCUUAUAGGCUCAUUUGACCUUAAUCACUUCUUAAAAGCCUGUCUUCAAAUAUAAUUAUUUUCUGAGGUCUGGGGAUCAGGACUUCCAUACAUGAAUUUUGGCAGGGAUGUAGGUCAGCCCAUAACAGAAAGGAUGGAGAUGGGAUCCUUGUCAGUCAUCUAGCAGGGGAGACAGACUAGCCAAGCAUUAGAAAUACAUUGAGAUCCAUCAUACAGCGAGUGGGAUUGCAGGUAGGGGUAUCCAAGUUGGUCUGAGGAGAGUUUGAAGUUCCCCCCAGGCAGCUUUGAUAUUUGAGCUGAGUUUUAAAAAAAUAGGCAAGAAUUGAUCAGACAAAUAUCUGGGAGAAGACAUUUGUAAGUAGAGGCAGGAGGCCUGAGAACAUACUAGCCUUCCAAAGGAGAAGUAUCUCAGCUGGACCUCUAGUUUUGUGGGGAGUAUCACCUCCAAGGAGGUGCUUGGGGAGUAAAAAAGCCUUACUCUGUAGUGUAUAAAGCAGAGCUAUAUACAGUACAUAAGAGAUAUAAGCAUAUCUGGGUAUUAAAUUAUCAUGGGUGAGAAUUUGGAAAAAAAUCUUGAAAGACUCCUUAGAGCAUUGAUAAUAAACAGGUUUAGGAACAGUAAUCAAAAAAGAGUGAUAGAAGUUGAGGCAGGACAGAUUGUCAGAGACUAAUUGAUAAGAUACAGUGCAAGAACUUGGAUUUUGUUUUUCCCUGCCAUUGACAAAAGACCUCAGAUUCUCCCACCUCCCCAUACUGAAGAGCAAAUCCUAGAGUCUUGGGCAAGAUAGGUAAGUGCUCUAUCACUGUGCCAUACCCCCACCCUUCCAUGGAUGGCACGGACUAAAAGACUGACUUGUUAGAAAACUUCUGUAGUAGAGCUAAAGAAAGAAAUUGAGUACAGGGUGAGGUCAAGUAUUAAACAGAUAUUUGGAAAGUGAGAUAGGCGGAUGAGAAAGCAGAGUAUAUGCAUGAAUCUGAGUCAAAAAGAGGGUCAUAGACAGCUCCCACAUUCCGUAUUAAAUGAUUUGGUGUGUAUUGCUGCUAUUAUUUAUACGUUGAGGAUCCUGGAAGGAGACCAAGAGUGGGUAGAAAUAGUGAACUCCAAUUUGAAUAUGUUGAACUCGAGAUGCCAGUGAAAUGUUCAGAAGAUGUGAAAAGUCUUUACUUGGGGACAGAGAAAGAGAUUUCUCUGUAUCAGUGAGUUUAGAGUUGUGAACAUAAUGAAAUAUAUAUCCAAAACUGUGCAAGUGUUUUGAAUAUAAGAGAAGUAACCCACUAAUCUUUGUCUUCAAGGUGCACGCAACCUGAUUUGGAAGCAUAAUUGGAAAACGUCAACGGAAGUGCUGAACUAGGAUGUUCCUAUUGCAAGACUGCAAGGGCUUGGAGAGAUCUCUGUGUGGUUUAAGAGCCCUCAGAGAAUGAUCAGGACAAGAAUUCAUAGAUGAUGCCUGUAUUAGUAUGAGCAAAGAAAAAGGUAGAGGGGUAUAAAAUAGUAAAGAGAGCAGGACUCAAGGCUCCUGGGGCUGCAAUCUACCGAACACUGAAAGACUGUGGGAUAAUUUUGAACUGCACGGAGUGAACAGUAGGCACCCACUAAGCAGGGAAUUUGGAAUGUCAGGGGAGGAUAUUACAGUUGGAGAAGUCACAGGUCGUGGUGAUAGAGGGAACCCAAGGGGAGCAUUCUGCAUCCUGGCUACCAAAGGUUGGGGAUGUAUGCUUUUAAAAUCAAGAUGAUGGGCUGGAGCUAGAGCUCAGUGGCAGAGCAUUUGCCUAGCAUGUGUGAGGACUGGGUUUGAUCCUCAGCACCACAUGAAAAAAUACAUAAAACAAAGGCAUGCUGUCCAUCUACAACUAUAAAUUAAAAAAAAAAUGAAGAGGAAGGGGAGCAAUGCUCCAGUGGAUCUUUAACAAAGGUACCAAAGGAUGCUUUGGCCAAUAUUGAGAUAAAUUCUGACACACAAUUGUCAGAUUCCUUUUUCCUAAUAAUUCCUUCAGAGUUCUAUCUUGGAAAUACAGACUUCUAUUACCUAAAUUUUCCUGUUUGAAAAUUAUUUUAGGACCAUUUUUUUUCAUUAUCAUUCUGUUUGUCCUGAGCCUUGAUCCCACUUGGUGAAAAAAUUCAGAACCAUCUGGAGGUCUGAUAUUUGCAACAAAAGUGAUUUUGUGAAUUGUGGUCAGAGAAGGUUCCAGAGCACACUCACAGACGGGGCUGUGAAUCAUGCCGUCUGUCCUAAUCUCAGGCAGAGAGCUUCCUCUCUGUGGGUGAUGGAAUUGCUUUCACAGUGUCGAAGUGACUCCUGGGCUGGGAUAAAUAUAAUGUCACAGAGAGAGAAUGGUGAAACACCUGCCCAUCUGCCUCUGAAAUAACCUCCUUUAUGACCAAGCACACCUCCUUUGUUCACCUAUUAAGUCUACAAGCAAACUCUUGGUAAAGACAUGAGUGAAAACAUGGUUAUUUUAUUAUAAUCAUGUGACAUAAGAGAAAUCCUACUUGAAACUCUGUUUAAUUUAAAAGGCAUUUCCUUAAAUGCUGACUAGACUUUCUUUCCCAUUCAUACCUGCUAUAUUCUAUUCUGCUUAUGAUGGCUCUUUCAGCCUAUUUCAUAUUUAGGACCUUUGUCUUUGUGAUACUUUUAAAAUAGUCUGGAAAUGAAUACAACCUUAGUGUGGAUCCAAAGCACAGAUUUUCUGCAUUAUGACAUUUUCUGCAUUAUGACAUGAUUUUUAUUUUAUUUUAUGACUAAUUCUUACUUACAUUUGUUUUCUUUCUAAGACAUUCUGUAUGGAUAAUGCUAACUUCAAAAAAAAAUCUGUUUACCAAGCCAGGUGUGGUUGCACAUGCUUAUAGUCCCAGCUACUCCAGAGGCUAAGACAGAGGUUCACUUAAGCCCAUGCAUUUGAGACCAGCUUGGGCAACAAAGCAAGAUCUUGUCUUUGGAAA